GAACAAAAAAAAUGGUGAAAACAAGAGUUGAGGAGCAUAACUUAAAAGUUUGAAGAACUUAACAAAAAUAUGAUAAAGUUUAAUAAUAAGUCGAGAACUAGAAAAUAAACUUGAAAUAUCUAAGUAAAAUGUUAGAAAUCAAUAAAAAGAGUUGGAAUACAGAACCAAAAAGUUGUGGGAACAAGAGUAGAAGAAGUUAACCUAAAAGUUGAAAUAACUUAUCAUGAAUUUGAUAAAUUCAAACACGAAAUAGGGAUCUGAAAAGUAAAUUUGACAUAUUUACCCAAAAUUUGAAAUUCAAUAAAAAGAGCAGAAAUAUUGAACCACAAAGUGCUGGAAAAAUAAGUUGGAACAACUUAACGAUAACUAGAUAAAGUCUAACAGGAUAUAGAGAUAUAAAAAAUAAACUUGAAAAAUCAACCUAAAAAUUUGGAAUUCAAUAAGAAGAGUGGAAAUAUAGAACGAAUAACCGGUGGAAAAAUAAAUUGAAACAACUUACUAAGAAUUUGAUAAAUUUUAAUUGAAAGUGGGAAUUUAGAAAUUUAACUUGAAAUUUCCAAAUAAAAUGUUGGAAUUCAAUAAAAAGAGUAGGAUAUAAAACCAAAAAGUGGUGGAAAAAAGAGUUGAAGAGGUUAAUCUAAAAUUCGGAAAGAGUUACCAAGAAUAUGAUAAAUCCAACAAUAAUUAGGGAUCAAAAAAUAAACUUGAAACAUUCACGAAAAAUACUUAAAUUCAAUGAAAAGAGUAGAAAUAUAAAACAAAAAAAAUGGUGGAAACAAGAGUUGGGGAGCAUAACCUAAAAGUUCGAAGAACUUAACAAGAAUAUGAUAAAGUUUAACAAUAAGUUGAGAUCUAUAAAAUGAACUUGAAAUAUUUAACCAAAAUAUUAGAAAUCAAUUAAAAGAAUUGGAAUAAAGAACCAAAAAGUAGUGGAAACAAGAGUAGAAGAAGUUAACCCAAAAGUUGAAAUAACUUAACAAGAAUUUGAUAAAUUUUAACAGAAAAUAGAGAUCUAAAAAUUGAACUUGAAAUUUCUAAACAAAAUGUUGGAAUUUAAUAAAACGAGUAGGAAUAUAGAACAAAAAAGUGGUGGAAAAAUAAAUCGAAAUAAUUUACCAAAAACUAGAUAAAGUUUAACAAAUUGUAGAGAUAUGAAAAUAAACUUGAAAUAUCUAUCAAAAAAUAUGGAAGUUGAUGAAAAGAGUGGAAAUAUAGAACCAAAAGCUAGUGGGAAAAUGAGUUGAAACAACUUACAAAAAUUUAGAUAAAUCAUUACUAGAAAUAGGAAUUUGAAAAGUAAACUUGAAAUAUGCAUUAUAAAUAUUGGAAUGUGACAAAAUAAGUAGGAAUGUAACCAUUUUGUGAUAUGUUUAUAUUUUUUGUACUAUUUUUAAAUUUUAAAUUAUUACAAUCUUUUUCCUUAUUUAAUUAAAAUUUUACUCUUUUUUUUCCAAAUUUUUUCAUAAUUUUUUCACAUUAAAAACAAAUAAAAAUAUAAUUUUCAUUAUAUUAUCCGGUUAAAAACCGGUUGUACCGGUUGCAUGCAUGUGCUGUAUGAGAUACAGCGCUGCAUGGUAGGUUGACUCCAAGAAAAGAGGAACUUGGGGCGGCAAAAAAAAGUGACAGUACAAGACGGUGGGAAUUUUAGAAAAAGGCGAACCUUAAAUUGAACUUCGAAGAUUUUGAGGUAAGCCGAAAGGUGCAGAAAAGUGAGCAUAAUCAGAGGGGUUCCCAAGCAAUGGAUUUUCAACUUGAGGUGGGCUCGGUUUCGGCCCAAGCAGAAUCUAAAGUAGAUGGGUUGAAUAAUGGGGUAAGCGUAGCUGCUAUCAAACAAAAGAAAAGACGGUGGAAAUUGGAAGCUAGAAAUAGGGAGAAAAAAGAAGUUCCCAAGCUUGGGCCAACGCGUGUUAAAAGGCCGAUGACUGAAGUUUUUGAAACAAAGCCCAGAAGUAAAGAGGAGAAAGCUGUGCAAUACAAAAAGACUCUUUCUUAAUUUAGCGCUAGAAGCUAAACACGAGCAGAGGAGGGAAAUUCAGAGUGAUGGAAGUUUGGAAGUUGAAACACCAACGAUGGAAAAAGCAACGGCCAUGAAAAUCAUCAGCUGAAACGUUUCGGGAUUGGGGAAUGACCGAACGUUCCGCGAAGCAAAACAAAAUUCUCCAAAGGCACAAGCCUCAAAUCCUGUUCCUGUGUGAAACAAAGAUGGGAGGCUGGACUAAUGAGGCAAAAAGGUACUGAGUUAAUGUUUGAAAAUUGUUUUGUAGUUGGUAGAAAUGGCAUUAUGAUACAACCGUGGAUAUUAAAUCUUAUAGUAAGUAUCACAUAGAUGCUGUAGUUCAUACUGAUAGUGCAAGUUACUGGAGAUGUACGGGAAUAUGGGCACCCUGAAACUGGGCAAAAACACCACACCUGGACUUUGAUGAGGAGAUUGGCUGCUUUAUCUUCUUUGCCCUGGUUGUGUUUUGGAGAUUUUAACGAGAUUUUGCAGCUAAAUGAAAAAACCGAUAGUAAUACUAGAUGUCUCAGCAUGGUCAGUGAAUUUAGAGACGCAGUCCAUGAUUGUGGGUUAACUGAUAUCGGUUGUAAAGGAUAUCCUUUUACCUGGUCCAAUAAGAGGUACGGGCCUUCUUUGAUUGAAGAAAGAUUGGAUAGAUUCUUAUGUUGCAAAAAUUGGGGAAGUGUUUUCCAGGAGAAAAUUGCUGAAAAUUUAAUAACAUAAUCAUCGGAUCACAACCCGAUUAUGAUGGAGGUAACAGAAAGGAACAGAGAUUCAAGGUAUGAAAAAAGAUCUUUCUCGAGAGUGCACUACGAGGACAUGUGGAGCCCAUAUGCACAAUGCCAAGAGAUUGUCAAGCGGGAAUGGAUGGAUCACAGUGGCUGGGAGGGUGAAAAUGUUGUUUCUCUGUUUCAAAAGAAAAUUAGAGAUACCAUGGCUGAAUUGAAGCUGUGGAGCAAGGAGGAGUUUGGAGGAAGAACAAAGCAAUUAGACAAGCUGCUUACCGACUUGGAGACUUCCAGACAGCAGCACUUGCAGUAUGUGGAUGAAGAAAGCAUAAAAAAGCUUGAGAGGCAAAUUGACAAUCUGUUAGUGGAUGAAGAAAUUUACUAGAAGCAACGUUCUAUAGCGGAUUGGCUGAGAGCAGGAGACAAGAACACUAAGUUUUUCCAUGCCAAAGCCUCUGCAAGGAAACAGAAAAAUUGAAUACGAGGAAUCCGAGACGAGCAAGACAAAUGGACUGAAGACACUAAGGAGGUAGAGAAAAUGUUUUGCGAGUAUUUUGACGGCCUCUUCACCACUACAAAUCCUACUCGAGAAAGCUUCGAAGCACCUGUCAAUUAUAUGCCAGUUAAAGUGGAUGGGGAGAUGAAUGAGCAGCUAGACCAACUAUUCACAAAGGAAGAACUAGCCGCAAUUUUAGCGCAAAUGUGACCCAUGAAAGCUCUUGGACCAGAUGGUUUUCUAGCUGCUUUUUUUCAAAAACACUGGAAAUCAGUUGGGAAAGGAGUUACAUCAACAUGUCUCCACAUUCUUAACGAAGGAGGUAAUAUCACCCCACUCAAUCACACUUAUAUUGCCUUGAUCCCUAAAGUUACUAAGCCUGAGAGAGUUACUGAUUUUAGACCCAUCAGCCUUUGCAAUGUCAUUUAUAGGAUAAUAGCAAAAACUAUAGCAAAUAAGCUGAAACACUUCACCAAAUUAUCUCACCAAACCGAAGUGCUUUUAUCCCAAAUAGACUCAUCAUUGAUAACAUUAUUAUUGGGUAUGAGUGUCUUCAUAAAAUUAGGCUUAGUAAGGGGAGAAAAAAUGGAUUAGCAGCCUUGAAGCUAGAUAUUAGUAAGGCACAUUAUAGAGUGGAAUGGGGUUUUCUGCAAUUUACAAUGGAAAGGUUGGGAUUUUCUAGGAAAUGGAUUGACCUAGUUUUGAGGUGUGUUACAACAUCAUCCUUCUCUGUUUUGAUUAAUGGAGCUGCGAAGGGCUUAAUUCAGCCUCAAAGGGGUUUGAGACAAGGCUGCCCUUUAUCCCCUUAUUUGUUUAUUUUGUGUGUAGAACUAUUCUCCAAUCUUUUGAUGCAGGCUGAGACCAAGCAACUCAUCCAUGGCCUAAAAUUUAGUGGAGACUUGUCUAUCUCUCACUUGUUAUUUGCCGAUGAUAGUUUGAUAUUCACAAGGGCAACAACAGAAGACUACACUCAUUUGAAGGCUUUAUUUGACUGCUAUGCAACAGCAUCGGGCCAAAUUUUCAACUACGAAAAGUCCUCCAUGUUCUUCAGCGGACAAGUUCAAAGUUCCCAAGUUGCUGCAAUCCAAAGUAUUUUUCAGUUUAAUGUUGUAUCCAAGCAUGAAAAAUACUUAGGAUUACCAUCCAUGGUGGGAAGGAAAAGAAAUACUUUUUUCAAGGACAUCAAACUUAGGGUAUUGAGCAAGAUAUCAAAUUGGAGAGAUAAAAUUUUCUCAAGUGGUGGCAAAGAGACCCUCAUCAAAGCAGUGGCACAGGCAGUUCCUGCCUAUGCCAUGAGUGUGUUUAGGAUACCUUCGGGCCUUUGUGAUGACAUCCAAAAAGUUAUCGCAAACUUUUGGUGGGCAGCUAAAAAAGACCAAAGAACAAUCCAUUAGGCAAAAUGGGAGAGACUGUGCAAGGCCAAGAGCAGAGGUGGUAUGGGGUUUCGGGACUUGUCUAGCUUCAAUCAAGCUCUAAUUGCAAAACAAGGCUGGAGGAUUUUGCAAUAUCCAGACUCUUUGAUGGCUAGAAUCUUAAAGGCAAAGUACUUUAAGCAUUCUUGUUUCUUGAAUGCCAAAGUGGGAUCACAACCCUCAUUUGUGUGGAGAAGUAUUUUGUGGGGAAGAAUGGUUUUUCAAAAUGGACUAAGAUAGAGAAUAGGCAAUGGUGAUCAAGCGCAAAUCGACAAUAGUUGCUGGAUUCCUAGACCUGAAACUUUCAAGGUAAUAUUGCCACCAACUUUGCCUAUGGAAACUAAGGUGUCUGACCUAAUCGAUCAGGACAACAAAUGGAAGGAAAAUAUGAUACAACAUCAUUUUUUACCAGAUGAUGCAGAAUAAAUGUUGAAAAUUCCUCUCCCAAGAGCAUCACAAUUGGACCAACCACUAUGGCACUAUGAUAAAUCAGGCAACUACUCAGUUAAAAGUAGUUAUCAAGUGGCUUUGAAGAUCGAGUUUCCAAAUUGUCCUAGUAGUUCGAGUAGCACUCAAACAUCAUGGAAUGCUAUUUGGACACUUGGAAUUCCAGAAAAAGUGAAGAUAUUCACGUGGACUGUCAAGAACUUGCUCCCUACAGUUGACAACCAUUGGAGGAGAAAGAGUGUACAGGAUCCAUUAUGCAAAAGAUGUGGAAGGACAAGUGAAACUACAUAUCACGUACUUUUUGAAUGUAGAGCCUCACAGAAGACUUGGAAAUUAACGCCUGUUCGAGAGACGAUAAGAGGCCUCAUCCACCAAAACAUGAUGGAUAUUUUGUAUGAAUUAAAAAGAAGCAACAACACGAACGAACUGGAGAUGAUAGUAACUGUGUGUUGGGCAAUUUGGCACUCAAGAAAUCUUUUCGUCUUUGAAAGGAAAAGAGAAAACUUCCGGCUAUCAGUGGCUAGAUCAGAAGCAAUUCUUGACUCUUAUAGAAGAAUCCAGGCACUGAAGGAGGAGUGGAGAUUAAUGCAACAACCAACGAGACAGCAAACUUGGAAUCCUCCACCAGAAAGUUAUAACUAAGGUUAAUGUGGAUGCUACAACUAAACUAGAAGAUCAGAUUGCAGGUUUGGGUAUAAUAAUUAGAGACUCAAAUGGAAAGUUCGUAGACGCUGGCAUGCAACAAUCCAAGUUUUACGGAGAUGUUAUGUACGCCGAAGCUGAAGCUGCUAGACUGGGGAUAUAAAUUGCAGAGUAAGUGAAUUGCCUUCUUUUGAUACUUGAAAUAGAUGCCCAAGAGAUUGUGAGCUUGGCUUUAAACAAGAAAGGUAGUAGAACUAAAUUUUUUUGGAUAAUCUCCGAAAUUCAAGACAAGCUAAAAUCCUUGAGGACAAUCAAGUUCCAGCAUGUUGUAAGAAAUUGUAAUAGCUUUGCUCAUUCUUUAGCAAAGUUAGCUCUUGAAAAUAUGGAACCUGUUUGUUGGAUGGGCCCACCUCAAUUUUUGUAUUUGUUUAAUGAAUUCUCUAAAUGAAAGAUUUAAUUUCGUAUAUAAAAAAAAAAUGGGUUGAAUUGAUCUGAAUUUUUUUCUUAUGCUCUUAUCUAGGCUAUAUAACAAUAUAUCUGAGAUUUUUAGCUCAGGUAUAGACCCUCAAAUGGAAUGUGAGGUCGACUUGGCUUUUCUACCUAAUUUCUUCUCCAUAAAUACGAGCGAAGUUUGGACACAAAUUUCUUGUACCUUUAACAGGGUAUUCAUCAAUUAGAAACCAUCAAAUGUCGUCAAUUUUUGAAGGAAUGGCCAAAUUAAAUGGAACCGAAAGGAUCUGUAUACGGUAAAAAUUUUCGAAAUUUAGCGACAAUUAAUGGUUUCAAAUUGAUGAACACCGACAAGAAAAAAAUUAGUAUUGGGUCUAUAUUUGCUUAAUCUGCACAUGAUAUUAUGCUAAUAAUUGUACAACGAUACGUAGUUAAUGGCAGAAAAACCUCCAGCCCGUAAGUACCCACCACCUUUAACUUAAUGCUUAUUCUGAGGUUUUGACAAAUUUUCUGACUCUUUAAUUAGAUGGGGGUACAUCAUUUAUAAAACCACAUUUACGAUGAUGUAAUUGCAUCUCCAAACUAAAAUUAGAAACAACAUUAUAUAAAGCAAAAAUGCUAGGACUACAUUGAAUUUCAAUCAGCUGCCAAACAAGCCUCAAUAUAUAUUUGCCAACAUUACAGCUAGAGUUCAAGCUGUUAAAUUGACUGAUUGCUCACCCACCCAACAAUACUUCCAUCUUCUUCUCCGUUCUGCGACACCAGUUGCUCAUAAGCACCUAUAUUUAUAGAUCUUAAAACCCUGUUUAGUAUUAAAAUACUGUAAAUUUUAGAUCUUACAAAACAAUUGGUUCCUAUAAAUUUUAGAUAUUACAAAACAAAGAUCCUAUUUGGUAUUAAGCUGCAGUAGCUUUUAAGCUACAAUUGGUGUGAAAAAAAAAAAUUGUAACUAUAAAAUAAAGAUUAAUAGUGUAUAACAAAUAUGAUUUUAAAAUAAUAAUUUUGAUAAAAAUAACAAAAAUAUUAUAGAUUUUUCAUUAUAUAAGUGCAAGAUUAAAUCAACUUAGCCUUUAAGUUGCGACAAUUAGUGUCUACUAAACACUUUAACACUGUAUCUUCUAAGCUACACUUACGUAACGUUAAUACAAAACAAGGCCUCAGUUAAAAUCCAAAUUUUAAAUUAGGAUAAACUUCUCUUUCAUCCCUAGGUUAGGCAUCGGUUCUCAAUUGGUCCUCAUAUUUUCAACCACAACCUAAAACGACCAUUACAGCUUUAGUUAUUUAGUUUUAAAUGUUUCUAGGGAUGGAUGCUUACAACUUCUCACAAAAGUAGCAUUAUUUACCCAAAAAUAAAAGGGUAAUAUAUAACUCUUUAAAGUAAUAAAGGAUCGGUAUUUUUUAAAGUACAAGGACUAAUUUACAAUUGAUGCCUAACCUUAGGACUGAAGGGGCAUUUACCCUUUGGAUAACAUACCCUACAUGAUAUAAUUAAUUGGACCUUUGAAAUAAUGCUUUGUGUAAAUUACAUGUACUGUAACUUAUCCAAGUAAAAUAAUUCAAAAACGAGUAAUAGAGUAAUGAGGCCAGAUGAGCCUGGGAAUGAAUUUUAUCAGGCGGUAAGUUGUAUUAAAUGAAACUUAGGAAGACCCAAUAUAUAAAAGUAUUCUCUAGUGUUUUUGGUUUGAAACAAGUAACCACAUAUUUUUCAUUAGAUCAAAGUAAUACCAAUAAAACAACGAUCAUCAAGAUCAAUUCUUACACUACACAAUUGAUAAACCACUAAAGUCCUGAUUGUCAUUAAGGUGUUGUAUCUUUUGAGCUAAAACAACAUGGAAAAAACAAAAACUAUAACUAUAAAACAGAAGUUAAUAGUCUGUAGUAAAUAUGAUUUUUAAAUAUAAUUUUGCCAAAAAUAAUAAAAAUGUUAUAGAUUUUUUAUUAUACAAGUGAUGGAUCAAACCAACUUAGCAUUCAAGCUACAACAAUUAGUGUUUACCAAAUACUUUAAUGCUGUAGCUUAAGAGAUACAGUUACCCAACCUCAAUAUCAAACAAGACCUAAAUCAUAAAAAGGACCAAGAAGAAAUUCAAUGCACACAGGAGUUACCUUUGUAAAGAUUAUGAUUACUAGUAAAGCAUAUGACAAAUUAGAGGUCUCCUUGAGAGAUCCUUUUAGCUCUUUCAUCUCACUCUCCACCAUCAUAGUGGGAUUUACCAAUUAAUAAACUGAUGUAUGGAUCAUCAACAGAGAUCAGUCUACAACUUGGAGUUCUCCAAAUCUGUUCAGGCCUGGAAGAAAAACACAUCAUAACAAACAAAGAUAAAAACAACAACAAACACAACCACAGCCACCAAAGGACUGAAUACAAAUGAAGAAAACCCAUUACAAAUUUAGAUCAUGGUGAAAAACACAACCACCAAAUAUCUAAAUCCAAAUGUUGAAAAUCCAUUAUAGACUUAGAUCUUGGCGAGAAGCAUAGCCACCAAACAUCAAAAUCCAAAAAGAAAGAACCCAUCUUGGGGAUAAACGACCUCCAUACAGGAGGAACUCAAAAAGAUGGAGUAAGAGUUCUUUGGGUUGGUGCGUUUCAGUGGAUUUUUGGUGGGGAAGGCUCUCGAAAGUCUCAGAGAGAUUUGAUUGCAAAGAUUAACAGGAAAAUAAGAAUCGUCAUUUGUUAGUAAAGACAGUUAACUGUAGUGAACUGAAAAGACUCAAAAAAAUGCAUAUAUUAGUAUUUUAGAAGCCUUAAAAUAUUAAAGAAACAUCCACCAAACUUAUUUUAGAAACGUUACAACCUCAAUUUCCAACAUUCUUUAAUAUCUGCACCUAGUAAACUCCACAGCUGCGGCUAAAUGGACUCAAAGAAGUUAUAAAUGGAACUCAAAGAAGGUAUAUAUGGAGCCAAUGAAGAUUCCCAGUAAUUAAAAAGACAAACUCUCACAGAAAAGAUUAACACAGUAGCUUGGCCCUUUCAGGGUUGCCUCUUUCAGCGCUUUCUGCUGUGCCUCCUGCUCUUCCUUCGACUGCUCCUAUCAUCAGAGUCAGAUUCAGAUGCCGAAUCUGAAUCAGAAGAAUCAGAAGAUGAGCUGUACCUUCUACGCCGCCCCUUCCUCUGCCUCUUCUUCUUCCUGUGCCGUCUCCUCUCUUCCUCUGAGUCAGAUGAUGAGCUGUCAGAUGAGCUACUCUCAAGAGAAGAAUAAUCCGACCCCGUCACAGAUGACGACCCACUAUCUGUUUCAAAUACUGAAGCCUCACUAUCACUACCGGAAUCCAAAUCAGAACGAUGCUUCCUCUUACUUUUCUUGGAACGCUCUUCAGCCUUCUUAUCUUUAACAUCUGGGUUAUCCAAAUCAUAAGAGAUUGAGACCUUCAUCUUCAACUUAGGGUUCUUAAGUUGUUGGGUCCUUGAGGGUCGUGACAUAUAAACCCGCUCAUUCUUACACUCAUAUGUCCAAUGCCCAAUUUGAAAGCACUUCUGGCACUGGGAAGCUGCACUACCGAUGGUAGACAUUGUAGACUUAAUAUCCUUUCUUUCGCCCAAUCUCACCGCCUUUUCAGUACUCAUCAAAUACAUCUGCCUCUUUGCCUCCCUCUUCUCCUGCCAUCUACUUGGCCCUUCUUCCUUCUGUCCAUAGGCAUUCACGUUUCGGGCAGCUGCAGUGGCUGCCCUCUCUGCCUGAGCACGACUCAAACCUUUCGCUGCACUCAAGGCUGCAGCCUUGAUUCUCUCAGCUGCAGCCUGACCCUUAUCUUCCUUCUUACUCGACAUUCGGAAAACGCUAAAAAUUCUAACUCCUCAAAUCUUAACAAAUUUCAAACACAAUAUUCUCUCACUCUGCAUUCAAGAACACUAUUUCAGCCAAUCAUACCUUUCUAGCAAUACCAACAACAAUUUAAAAUUAUAAAAAAUUAAUAACACAAAGCUUUGAAACUUCAAUUAGGACUAGGCACUUCAAGUUUGCUUUGGUUUUUUCAGAAACCAAACCAAUCAAUUUGGAAAGUUUCAAACCAAACUUCAAAAAACCUGAACUGCAUUAGAUCGAUUUGGUUUGGUUCUUUGGAUUUUUUCAGUUGAAGCAUUUCUGAUGCUUCCCAAAAUGACCCGACAUUAUUACUCUAAAAAACGGCCAUUUUUCACAGCAGCACAAUCCAGUCAAAGGGAAAAAAUUUCAAGGAAACACCAAUCCAAAUAAACAAUUCACUAUUUAAAUGUCAUACGAGCAAUAAGAACUCUGAAGUAUAGCUAUACUAAGUUUCAGCAAGAUACUGCUGCAUGUAUCAUCCUGAUAUGCACAAAUAUACAUACAUUAAUUCUCUUGCACAUAUCAUUUCAUGGCAAGCACAUAAGAUAGGUACAAAAAUGAACAUACGAAAGCAGAAGUUCUAUUUAACGACAACUCCAAACAAAACCCAGAUAACGUACGAGUUUAAAAGGACAGUAUUCUGGGUAGAAGAAAACCUUCGACGGUGGCAGCGGCAGCAACGACGGGUUCUACGGUUUUUGAUAAUCUGAUCAACAAACAUAAUCGGAUUAAUAAACACAAAGAACUCAAAUUUCAUCAUUCAAGUAUUUCAAAAACUUUAAUUAAAAAAGAUUGAACAGACAAGCCAAACAGAAACUAACCUUCACGGCCGGCUGCGGAGACUUCGCGACGGCAGAAGCAGCGCCUGGUCCCUAGUGUUUUGGCUUUUCUUUUUAACUUUCGGUUGUAUUUAUGAUUUUUUUUCCCCAAAAGGUUGAAAACCGAACUAAACAUAAACGGUUCUGUUUUUGUAAUUUGAACCACGUGGGUUAUUUGGUAUGUGGUUCGGUUUGGUUCAAACGAAACCGAAUGUCCAGCCCUAAUUUUUAAAUUACUAAACAUAUGGAUCUUUCAAAAAUAAAUGUUACCCACAGCAAAAUACUUUAUUUCAACUAUUUUUCAAGAAAAAGAAAGAAUUAAAUGAAUAAUUUUCUUAAGAAAAAUCGAGUCUAGGGUUAAAAAUAAACAAAAAAUCAACUAUUAGGACCAAAUUUUAAAUAUUAUCUACUUAUUAUUUUUCUCACUAUGUAAUAGCUAAAAUGAGCAUUUUAAAGAAAAAUGUUCUUUAGACAAUAUAUUGUUAUAGACAUUGUUAUGUCAUGAUUAACAAAUAGUGUCUUCCCUCUCUCAAAAAAAAAAAAAAACAUUGUCUUCUGCAAAUUGCAACAUACAGAUUGUGUUGCACCACAAUCAACAAAUAUUGUUGAUUUGAAUCUUCACUUAAGGGGCUUUAUUGUCAAAAAAUAUUAUUAAAGCAAAAAAGAAAGAAAGGAAUGUUUGUAUAAUUCCAUCCUAAUUUUGAAACAUUUUCGUAAAUUUCACAAAACCUUUGUAUAUAUUUUGGAAAAAGUCAUUUAAAAAAUUAAUAAAAUAAUAUUAAAAAAAGGGGUAUAACUAUGAAUUUAUAUAAAUUCUGUUAAUUAAGGAGCAUUAUGUAUUGUGGCGUGGUAACUAGUAUGCAAUAUUACUACUCGUUUAGAUCCAAAAAAUUAAUUUAUAGUCAUAUCUCCCAUGAUUUAUGAGUAACUUGAUGUGUAUUAUUACACAUAUUUACACAUUACAUUCUUAUCAAACUCCUCCCUUUGCUCUUAACUUGGCAUUUACCCUAUAAAAUAUAAAUAAGCAGACAAAAUAAGGUUUGAACAUUUUAUUAAAUUGACCUUUGAAAUAAAAGUAAUUGUCGUUACUUUAGUUUGAUUUCAAAGAUUCAACAAGAGAGGAAAUGAAGAAUAAUCACUCACCAUUUGUUAAUUAAGACAGUAAACUGCAGUGAACCGAAAACACUCAAUUGGAGAAAUGCCAUAUAUUAUUAGUAUUUUUUAGAAUAUGUAUUAGCUUCAGAAUGUUAUGUAGCAUUAGGCCUCAGUGUUUAAUGAAAAAAAAAAAAAAUUUGAUGCAGCAAAUAAUAAAUGUAUGUGUGAAAUUAUACAUUAAAAAUUAUACAACGAAUGCAGUACCCCCCGAAAAAGAACCAUAAACUAAACUAUUCCUAUACCUAUUCAAGGUCUCAGGCUUUGAAUGACUAGAGAACAUUAUUCACUCAGUUGUCCUUGCAGUUUCGGGAGUAAAUAGAAGACAAUCUAGACGGUGACUGAAAGAAAUCAAAUGGAGUUCCCGAUCCGAACGACCUUCUUGUGUUCGGAGAAUCUGAUAACAGAGGUUCGUAAACUGGACUUCUGCUCCUUGGUUGAGUAAUUGAUAAAGGAGCAACAUCUUUUUCUAUCGCUCUUGGCUGGGGCUCAAUAGUCCCCAGAGACAAAAUGGGGCCACCCAUACGCUCAGCCUGCUGAAGUAUAUUGAUCUUACUUGCUCUGUAUGUAUACCGGAAGUAUUUUAAUGCCACAAUCGGACCCAUCCCUGCUGCAACUAUGAGCUGUUGUAAUCAAAUAAAAAUUUGGAGUUGGUCAGUUGGGCUAGGCUACCUUUGAUAACUUAAAUUUCUCACUCUCAUUCUUGUCGGCAACCCAAAUAAUAAUGAAAUGAUAACACAAGUGAAUAAAGUUGUCUUUUAACAGGGAAAUGGAGCUUACAAACAUAGUUAUCCAAUAAGAUGGUUGUGAACAUAACCGGAACAUAAUUGUGUACAUCCCAGAUGAUGGAAUAGCACUGAAGAUCCAGUUGAUGAUGUAGAAGGCAACUAAAUUACCCCAUAUGGCAAGAUGUUGGAACACUGUAAAGGAACUGCAUGGGAAUCAAAACUUAUGGCUGUUAUAACAGGCGAUUGAUAGAAUUUACCAAAUCCACCUGAGAAAUGGCCUUGUUUAUUUUCAAUAAUUAAUUGGCGAUACAUAAUUUGACAUGGAAGCUUACUUGGUCUCUAAUGCCACAACAAAUGCCUGCAACCAUAUACAUCCUGAGAGUGCUACCAUGGAAACCUCCUCCAUUUCACUUUUUUCAUAGGCAUACACAUGUAUGCUGAUUACAAAUGCAACAAUUGCCUGCAACCACAUCAAGAUUAAAUGGUAGAAUCGACAAGUAAAUAUUACAAAGGGGCAAUGGUAGAAGGCAUUUUUUUUAGUUACCAUGCACCCACCCUAACCUCCGAGUAUCAGCAUUUAAAAUUAUCCCGACUCAUGAUUUUCUAUACUGGUGGUACAACCAUUUACAUGGGAUUCUCUGAACAGGUCUAUUUCCUGAUUCUUAGUCAUGUCCAGUGUCUAACAUGAUCAUUUUUUUCUCUUCAGACCUACUUUAUCCCUAUCCGGCGAGAGUUAAAACUAAUUCCUAACACACCUAUUAACGGUGGAAAGAAACCUCUUAAGUCAACUACAAGGUUUAUUUUACAUUAUAUUAGUAAUAACUAUAAAAAUAAAAAUAAAAAUAGAGAAGAAUGAAAGAGAAUUGAUCUGCAAAAAUAUUAAACAAUUGUAUCCUCAUCAUAUGCCUUAACAAGCAGUAGAGUACCAGAAACUCUUAAGUCUCUCCGCCGGCACAAGCCUUCCACUAAGAAAACUAAAAAAUAAACAGAUCUCUUCUCAAGGAUCAUGCUACUUCAUAAGAGUACUUCAUUUCAGAUUAUGUUGGCCGUUUGAUUUCAUUCGGCAGGGUUCUCAGAACUAUUUCCAAAUUUAUAUCUAAAGAUUGAAUCAUAAACAAUAAGUUCAACAAUAUGGGUUUUGCAUCAAAGGCUUGGAAUAAUAACUGCUUGGUAAAUCGACAGAGACAUUCUGAGUUCUAUAUAUCUAGGGCUCAGAAAAUGAUAAGUAAUAAAUGACAUCACUCACAUGGAACAGGGACCGGCCAAACCAUCCGGCAAAUGUGCUAGGAUUAAGCAGCCUGUUUCAAGAACAAUCGUCAGCAAGUUCAGAAGUAAAAUGCAUGUGGCAGUAAAUUCCAAUUCACCCCACCCCCCCCCAACAAAAAAAAAAGCUGCAUACCUUCCUGCCUGGCAGUAGAAUAAAAUUUGUGGAUGCUGCAUCACAGUUCCUUCACUAAGAUCUUUGUCAAUUGUACUGACUAGAACAGGAAUGCUAGUAUAGAAUACAUUAUAAGCCAUCAAGCUAACAGAAUUGAAAAGACUAGUUCCAGAUAGACCUGAGAUAAAAGAGAAACUAAAUGUAGUCCAGUGUCAGUACAUAAGGAAAAAAUCAAAAACCUCAUUUGUCAAAGAGAAUCAACACAAAUAAAGAGCAUUAAUCAGAACUCACAAUAUUUGGAUGAAACAUAUAAGAAGGGAUUUAUAAAAUGAAUACUGCGACAAAAAUGCUGUUCGAUUGUAUGAAUACCGUCCGUGCACAAGUAUUAAUCUUUUUAGAAACCUGAACUCUGCAAUUCAAGAAAGUAUUCUCAAAAACUCAUGAAGUUUAGUGUAGGGCAGAACAAUUAUUAUAACUUUUUCCUUAAAAGAUUAUCCAAGGAAAAAUAAAUCAAUAAAUGAAAAUCCCUUCAACAGAUGCACACACACACACACACAAAAAACUUACUUCCAAUACUAUAAUCGGCUGCCCUAGCUGCCUGCAGUCCUUCUCUGCCGCUAAUACCAACUCCUAUAUCAGCUUUCUGUAUCAUUCUCACAUCAUUCCCUCCAUCCCCAAUGGCUAAUGUUCUGUAGUCACAGGAUUUUAAGAGCUCCACUAGCUGCAACAGGUUAUGGAAACAUUAAACAAUUAUUCUUCUUCAGAUAAAAGGCAUGGUAAGUGAAUAUUCAAUCAAUCUUAAUUGUCUGUUGGUAGAAAAUGACAAGCAUCAUUACUUUGUAAUGUACAGUAAUGAUGAUUGUUUAGAGAGAGAGAAUCUAGUCUUGGUUUCAUUGUUUGUAAGAACAACCUGUGCUUUCUGUGAUGGUGUCACGCGGCAACAUAUAGCAGUCCUUGACAAUAUUGCUAAUUCAGUAAAAGCUUUUCGGUAAUGCUUAAGAGCUAUUUCAAGAGCCCAACCAUCGACAACAAACGCCACAUCCUGUGCGGGGAAGGAAAAUGAAAAAGAAAAGGGAAAAUUAGGAAUACAUUAAUAAGCACAUAUUUGGUGAUUGUGAAUCAAAAUCUGAGUUUUCUUAUUUAUUUAGGCAAAAUUUUAUUUAGGAAUAUAAGGAUUCAUUAUUGUUCAAGUGGAAUUUGAAUUUUGCAAGUUAUCUCAUUCUAUUAGGAUCUAGAUUUCUUAUUUGAAGUGAUUUUAUUUUCAGUUAAUUGAUGUAAAGUUUUAGUUUUCUGCUCCAUUUAGGAUUGUGAAUUGUAAACAGGGCCUUAAGUUAUGAUUUAAAAAAAGACUUGGUUAAUUACUGCAAUAACAGAAUAACUUUAAUCUACAACAGAGUGUCACAAAUUUAAAGAAAUCAUGAGAUGAUAAGGGCAAAUGCAUAACUUUCAAAACAUAGAAAGAGAAAGAAAAGUCAUCACAUAUGAACCUACAAUCAAUCAGGUGAUUUAAGCUGUACCUUUGGUUCAGAAGUUGUUAUUCUCAUUGUUAGCAAAACUCUCUCCAAACUUCUACAAACUUCAUCUUCAGUUUUGCCAUCAAUUGACAGAAGCUGACCCUUCGGCUCUGUCAAGAAGUAGGAGGCAGAGGACAGAAUUAGUGACACUUAAAAAUUUGUUUAAUAUGAACAACAUAGCAUUUGGGCUCUCAUGACUGGCAUAGUCCAGCCAAAGUUUGUAAAUAUAGUGUGAUACAAUAACAAUAAAAACUGGAUGCAGAAACAUAAUACAAAAACAACUACCAAGCAAUUCAAGGCAUGAAAUAUCAUAAGAAAAGCAAUAUGGGAAAAAAAAAGAUUUAAAUACCAGGGGAAAUGAAAUUGCAUGAAAGAGCGAUCUGUAUAGCGGUAUUCUGCUUGUCUCCUGUUAGCAUCCAAAAAUUAAUUCCUGCUUUUCUAAGUGUCUCAAUUGUUUCAGGUACACCAUCCUGAAAAUUUAUUAAGAAUAAAAAGUUCGCAAAUGUUACUUUAUCUGAUUGCUACCAGGAAACAUUUUAGAUAAGAAGCAACACUUUCAUUUUUCAAUGCCACAACUGUGACAAUGUUCACCUGUAGACGAUCCUCUAUUGCAGUAACUCCAAGAACUUUGAGAUCAUGUUCUAGUCGUUGACAGACCUCAGCUAUCCUCCACUGCAUAAAAAUAGUUAUCAGAGGAUCUCAGUUUGUUGAUUACCAACAAUCAGCAAAUUUUGCAAAUAAUUACAGUAGACAAAAUUAUUGAAUUGUACCCUUUACCUCCCUAUCAAUCAAUGUACUACUAGCCUCUUUAAACAUCAAGGACCACUCUUGAUAUUCAUCUUCUUCUACUUCACGCCAAGCCAAGCAUAGCGUACGAAGUCCCAAUUGAGAAUACUGUUCUACAGCUUCAACAAAAGUCCUUGUUUGUUGUCCUGAAGUAAAUUUUGGUAUUAUCAAAUACAAGAGCAAAUUGAUGUAGUAGCAGAACAUUCUUGAGGUGGCCCACAGACAUCAAAAAGCCACAGCAAGAAUUUUAGCAUCACAUAAACAUAUAAACUACGUGAAUGAUUCAACAAGAUCAAGAUCAAAGACAGUUUAAAAAGCAUUGCCAAUAUGCAGAUUAAUUAUUACCACCACCAACGGUAAAAUAUAGUCAUGACUUUAUUUACUAAUACGUAAGCAGUAUGUGGUCUGCUGAUAGAUAUGCAGAAGAUUUUUAGUUUCUCACAGCGGAAAACUAUCUUGCGCAGUCCAACUGCAUCAUGCCAGGGUCCCCAUCCACUCCCAUGUGAUUUCAACUUUAAGAUAUCCUAAUACAGUUUGACUAGUGUUGAAAAUGUAUCUGAUUUAUUGCUGAUCUCAUUGUUUCAGUUUAUGAAUCCAGCAUAGUAAGUACCAGCAGACCAAAUAAACAUCACUUGUUCAAUGAAAAUUCCAAUUUUUGCUCAAAUGUGAAUAAUUUUGAUAUACGUACAUACAGAUUUAUGAAGAAAAGAAAGAAAUUCAGGAAUAGGUUUACCAGCAUGAGCGUAAGGAAGAAUUGCUUCAUCUGCACCUUUUGAGAGAAGACUAAUAUUUCCACUGUGGCAAUCUUUCACGACAACUGACAUUCUUUUUCUAUCAGAAGUGAACUCCAGAGUUUCCAGUAUUUCAUAUUGCAGAACUGAACCAUUAAACUUGAUCUCUGAAAGGCACCCGGAAAAAACGAAAAAAAAAACUAUUUCAUCAUCUCCACUAACAGUUUCAUCCUCUUCCUAACAGUCAAAAGCAAAAGACUUUUACCAAGAAUACUUGCAUUCUUGUUGACCAAAACCAUAUGCAACUGCGCAGCAGCAUGAACAAGAGCUUCCUCAUCCUGAGAUUGCGCCUUGUAUAAGAUCGCUCCAGCUUUGCUACAGAAAACAAGUUUCAAAAUGAUGUUAACUGCAUAUAAUCUUAAAGAAUCUUGAAAUGAACCAUUUGCAAUGACUUGAAUUAGAAGGAGAAUAUCCAGGCUAGAUUCUACCAAAGAAGAAGCUACUAUUACCUUUUCGCAGGUAUUACAGUAUUACAUACAGCCAUGACUGUAAGAAAACGGAUAACAUCAGGAGAUCCACUAGUGAUAGCAUUGAGCAGCCCCACAUCUAUGUGAAUGGUAAAAUAGUCAGAAACCACCCUUUACAUGUUUCAUGAAUAGAGAUCCCCAUAGUUAUUAAAUAGCAUUAAACAAAGAAAUAAAAUAUGCAUGAAUAAUGAGAUGCACCCGUCAAUAAAAUAAUUAUGCUUACAGACAGUAGCGAGAAACUAGAGAUUACAGAGUCAAAAACUCAACUUGACAGCUCAGGCAUAAUUAUCUCAAUUUCUAAUCCCUACACAUAACAGUAUUCAUAGCUAGUAGAUCAACAGGCAGAUGAUGGAGCAUUACUCAAAUGCUUUAGCAGGUCAAUUGAACUGAACAACAUGUACAAAUAGGAAAUAAGAUAACAUCUAUACUGAACUCUCAAGUGACAAAUUCCAGCAACAAACUAUGGUACUAGUUUUGAGUAGAUUCUCAUUCCCACAUUUAAAAUUCUACUUGAGGAAGGAAAUUGAUGGAAAUAAUGAUGGAGCUCUAAUGAAUCACUUGACCAUGAUGGCAGGCUGCAGCAUCAGAUAGCCAAGCAAUGCAGUGUGAGGAAUUCUGCUGUAAGAUUGCAAAAUUUGCUUGACUACAAUAACCGGCUAGCAUCAGAAAAUUUUCCCAAAGGUAGAAAAAUUAAUCAAGUAAAAUGUAACAUCUUUGCUUUCAUUAAGAUAAGCCAUAAAACCAAAUUGAAAACUUGACGUUUAUAAUAUUCCAGGAAUGAAAUUCUUAACUUUUUCUGCUGUAUCUAAAAAACCUGACUACCGUGCCUUAUUUUUUUGAAAGCAACAUUCAACUCUAUGGAAUUUUUACAGGCAACAGCCACAACUCAACCUGAAAUGCAGACGACCAAUGUAUACAUUCAUAAAUAGUUGAUGAAUCAACAUAGAUGCUCCUAAACUGUACUUCAAUUUUAGUAAACAAAAAAUACUAACAUUGCCUAAGAGCAAGAAAAGGCAUUCGCAAAUUAGAAGUCCCAAAAGAAAGAAAAUGUUGAUGAUAAUAAUGAUGUGAACCAACCUUUCAAAGCAUCUCCAGUCUCAUUCCCAUAGAAAAUUCCACCAAUGCAACAUCUUCUAAAGAUCAUCCUAUUUUCCGUUAGUGUUCCAGUUUUAUCAGUCAAAAUGUACUCAACUUGUGCCAAGUCCUCACUUAUUGCUGUGCUGCCAUAUAUAACAAACCCCUCUUUAGGUACAUGUAGAAAAAAGUACUUUUUUAAUCAGCACAAAUCAUGGCCCUCCACUCAUUAUCUUACUUUGUUGCAUGGGAUGGAGUAUCAGUUUCAGGGUCAAUCAUUUCAUAGUCCCAAUCAAUAAAUUUUGCAUAUAAACUCUUCACAAGAUCCAAAGAUACCUGCCACAUAGAAGUACUUGAUUUAGUGCUACAGUAAACUAGAUAUGGAAUUCUCAAAAUCUGUGAAGUGAUGCACCAUGACAGAAUUUUUAAAGAAACAACCAUAAUAAGUAACAGAGCUUCAGAGGUCAAAAAUUGACCAUUCUACCAAUAAGCACAAAUAUAUUAGUUAUUGGCUCAAUCCAUUACAGCACAUCUUUAAACCAUGCAGGACCCUUUUAAACUAUUCAGUGGAAGGGGAUGAUAUUUCUAGAUAUUUAGACCAAAGUAUUAUGUUACGCACAUAUAAAGUAAUGUGAUAGAUUUUUCUUUGUCAAAAUAUUUUGAACUAGUAUUAUUAUGUUAGACCAGUAAAUAUUAAAAUAAUCAAUAUUUCUUCAUUAAAACAAGUUUAUCUAAAUUGAUGGAGGUAUUGACAUUAAUGCAUAAAAUCAGAAAAUUUCGAACAUACUACUUUUUAGCUUCCCUCAGUAUUGCAUAAUGCAGAACUACAAAACAUAACAUAGAAGUCAAGCUUUUAAUGCACCAAGGCUCACUACAGUGUAGUAUUUUUAGUGUGUGUUUGUGCAAGUGACUUUUGGCUGUAGUCUAGCUUCACAAUCUCUUUCUCUCCUGCAAUUGGCCUAUUUUUCAUCCUAUUGAUCACAUACAGCCUUGUAGGAAAUACACAUUUGCUUUUUUAAACAUACCAAGAGUAACAUCAAAAGAUAAAAGACAAUCAUGUGAAACCAUGCAACAAUAAAGACUAUCAAAAAACUGAAAUUAUUAGCAAAAUGCCUAGCAGAUUACCUUGAUGGAUAUGGGGAUCAUGAUGGAACAAAGAAGCUCAAACCGUAAAGGAAUGACCAGUAGUUCAUACCAAGGAAAUUCCUGUGGAUAUAAAACAUACCAUUGCUGCAAGAGAAGCAUACCAAAGAGGUGGCUAUAUGAUCAUAAGUUAAUAAUGCAAUAAGAAUGGAAAUUAAAAGGAAAACCUUUGUAAUAUCCUAUCCAGAAAAUAAAAUGGAAAACCAAAAAAAAAAAAAAGUCCUAUGAGAAAAAGGAAAAUGAAAACCACAAGCAUCCAUGUUGAUAAAAUAAAGUACUAAAAUUUGUAUGUUCCAAAUUUUGUCACAUUAUGCUGCAGUUGGCUACUAUAGAUAAAAAGUGGCAAGGCAAGGAACCUAAAAAAAGGAUCACAAAAUCGCAACAAAAGUUAAUUUACUUUCAAGGGGGCAUGCUCGGUGCUUUCCCUAGUUAGUUGUGUUGAUAAUUCGUACCCAUCUUGACUUGCAUGCAGGCACAGGGGUCAUGCAAGAAAGAUGGAGAAGAUGCAGACAAGAAUGUGAUUAGGGUACUAGAACUAAAAUUCUGUAAAGAACAUCAGAAGUGAAUUUAUUACACCAUGAGCAGCUAAACCAAGAGGGAGAGAAAGACCACCCUACUACAAAUGUCUACCUUAUUCAUCAUUAGAAAUACAGCAGAUAAGAAUGGUGCAAAACAUAUUUUGACAAGAUUUUGAAAUUUUGAAAGACAUUCUUAAGCAUUUCAACAAUUAUUCCGGCCCAAUUUUCUGGUAUCUCAUUCAAAGUCUAUCUUGAGAGGAGUUAAAGAAUAGGAAAUAAUACUUUUACCCUUCAGGUUUACCAACAUGAUUUCUUUGGAGCUCAUGGUGAGAAAUGUAUCUGACAUUUAAUGCAAUAAAACAUUCAGAUGGGACAAAAUUUUGGUCACAAGUUUCUUGGUGGUGCUCUUUGAUAUUUUAGAUUCUUGGCUCUAAUUUGUAUUUUUCGGUUAUGGUGUUCUCUUGGAUAUUAAUGUCAAUUAGGCUAUGCCCCCUCUUACGGUGUUUCUGAUAUAUUUGUUGGAGAAAAAUGUACAAUUGGCCAGCAUUAGGUAAGUUCCCCAUCAGAAAGAGUAGAACAAUAACAAUAUCAUUACAUGCUAAAGAAAUAAAUUCUAUUAAUCAUUUCCAAGAAUCUGACGUCCAAGAAACACAAGCUCAUAAAUUAUUACUAACCUUUCUUGCUUCUGUGUCCUUCCACACGUUUCCAGCUGUGCCAAGAACAAUGACGACCACAAUUUGGAAAACAAAGAUAGCCCCAGUCAACUUGUCGAUCAUGGCAUCAACGGCUGUAAGCUUUGGUUCAGGUAUACCCCUAGUCAUACCCAGCUUGGUUUCAUUGCCUAGAAAAAUGGAAUAUUGGAGUUUAACAUUUGCUCCAAUUGAUGUCAAGACCAUCACCUUGGCAGAUGGAAGUCAAAUCUUAGGGUGCAUUUGGUAUUUUUUUCUGAUUAAUGCUUUUUAUACUUGUUUUAGAGAAGGAAAAUCGUGUUUUAGAUAUUUAAAAAUGAAAAUGCAUUUGGUAGCUUGUUUUAAAAACAGUGUAUGGAAACGAAAAUAGUAAAAUAUAUUUGGUUGUUUGUCUGAAAAAGUUGGAAUAGUAAGGGAGUAAAAAACAAUUGUUUAUUAUUUAAUGAUUUUUUUUAACAGUAGCAUUAUAUUUUUUACGAGUUAUUGUCAUAAGGUGUCAUUUUUUCAGACGGUAUUUUAUAACUGUGGACGUUGCUUUAGUAGAUAAAUACAAAAUUAAGUGUCUACAUAAUUUCAAAAUAUAAUAUAAUAAAUAUGAAAAUAUAUUAUGCCAUUUAAAAGUUUAUUUAGUUAGAAAAUAAUGAUUUCUUGUAUAUUAUUUUUUAAUUUACAAUAAAUAUUCCAAAAAAAUAGUUUUUUAAAUAAUAAAAUUACAUGCAUAACAUAAAAAAAAUUUAUAUUACAUUUGUUUAUAUUCCUGUUGCAGUUAUAAAUCUAUUAUAAUAAUGUAAAUAAGACAUAUUUAUUUUAGGACCCACAUAAUUCAUUACAAUGAUAUCACAAAGUCAAAUCUAUGAGAUCAUUGGCAGAGAACAAAAAUUGGACAACGCCAAUAUGGCAUCUUCCAGGUUCCUUCACAAAAUGUAAAGAAUGGAAAUGAUUAAUUUCUUAUUACUGUAGCAUUUUCCUAAAUAAUGAGCCCACCAAACAAGUUUUAUCCAUUUUCCUUUUCUCAAAAAGAAAACAACAAACUGAAAAUAUUACCAAAUGCACCCUUAGGUUCUAGCUUUGCAUCACAACUUUACCAAAGAAAGCAUGCAUAAGGUGAAUAUUUCUUUUCUUGAUAAGAAACUGAGAGUAUUAACUAAAGAAGAAAAAAAAAGUUUUACAUCAGAUUUGUGGAUCAGUUGUCCACAGGAUUAACUUCAAACAUUAUGACCUUUUGCACUAUCUCACAUCUUUUUGCUUCUUUAAUAGAUACUCCUUAGAAGUAAAUUUUAAAAUAAUAAUGAUAAAAUAUUAGCAUCUUGAAGAGCUCAUAGAAAACAAACCAGUAAAAAAGCUUAGUUAUGACCUUGACAUUUCAGUUAAAUAAGAACUUGCCUGUGUAGACAGCUACUCCACAGGCCCACUCUGUAUUUCGUAAGUAGCAUGACUGAAGAAUUGUGUUUUUUAUGGUCAAAGGGCACACAUCAUUGUCAAUAAAAGGUGGUAACAGACGUAGAUUUCCAUCAAAUCUUCUAAUAUCCUUAUCUGGACCAGGACACUCAGGGGGGGGGGGGGGGGGAAUAAGUUGUCGUGAGUUAAGCGGGGAGGAUACCAAGAAUCUACAGAAAGAGAAAAAAAUAUAUAUUGCCUUAAUUUUGUGCAGCAAUUCAAAAUCCAUUCCCAUACAAGCAGCAGGUAUGAGCCUUGUCUUCAAAUCAGUUUCACCAUCCAGAGCAGCCGUCUGAAAAACAUGUUACAGUAUUGGGAUGAAAAUAAGGUAAGCAUUCUCAAUUUCGAAUAUUAAGGUUAAAUUUGAUUAGACUGAGAGCUUUAAUGAAAUUAUUAAAAAGUAAAAACAAUUUAAAGUCAAAAGAAGGAAAAUAAGCCAUAAUACAUUAGUCCAAUAACCGCCCCGACCCCAAGAUUUAAUGAAUUUUAAGCUGGACUUUGUUCAAAGUUAUAGCACAGCACUUAAUUUGUAUUAACCUCAGACUAUCUUUCGCUCUGCCCCAAACCCACAAAGCAAGUCAGUAUUACAAGGCAACAAAGAUACAAAAGCCCACUCUAAAUGGCUGCUUGCAUAAUGUUUUCCGAUAUGGUUGGAGGUCAAAUAAUUUCAUCCGACCAAACAAUAGGAAAUUGCAAAUGUGUAUCACUGCAACCUUUACUUACCUCAACAUAGCAGACACCUUGUGGAUCAGAAGUACCAAUCAAAACAAGAUCACAUGGCACUUCAUCAUUCUCACGAAGCCAUACUAUGUUACCAACCCGAAUGUCCUGAGAUUGUAUCUGCAAAUAAAUCGCCAAUGAAACAGACAUAAAGAGAUAAUUAGUAUACAACAAUUAAAGAUAAAGAAGCAACAAUUUAUCAUUGUACAUUAGUUUCAGCUAAUGCUUUCUAGUAUUGACAAUUGCAGUUACACCUAACUCCUGCCCCUGCCACCCACUUGAUCUCCUUUUCAAUGAAAUCCAAACCACAAAGAAUUUAACAAUGACGAAUGUUCUCACAAUUCUGUCCUUUUGGGUCGCUCCCUUGGGGAUAUAGGGAGCUUGGUAACAAAAACAUUUCCUCUAGAAGAUAACUGCAGCAUUUCAAUAACCAAAAGCAUGCAGCUGAAUAUUUGUGCAUGCAUGUGAUUUUGUUUGUUUUGAAUUAAAAAAUUCAAUACCGAUUUGUACAAAUACUUUGAUGUCUAUUUCCAUUUUCCAAAAAUAAAAAUAGUUUGAUAGCAAUGCAGUGUUUCAAGUUUUAAUAGUCAUAUGUCUUCUAAUCAAUAAUUAUCUAAAUUGAUAACAAUUAAAUGCCAAAAUAACAAAAUUUGUAGAGGUGUGCAAACAGAGCAAAAGCAAGAUAUCCUUGACCAAUUGCCAGAAAAUGUAAGAUGACUUGGAAAAAAAAAAGGUUUACGUACAAGUUUUUUGAUGCCCUGCUUAACAACCCAGACUUCUUUCUCAUUUGCUUUCUUGUCUGAGAGAUAUCUGUUAUAAUCAUCCCAAGCCUCUUUGGUGGCGGAGACUGCAAAUAUAAAAAUUAGCGGACCCCAUGUACUGGCAGGAUUUACUGGAGUGAUAAGUGACCACAGCUGGAGGCAGGCAAUCAGCAAGAAGUACUGAUUCAUAAAGCGGCUGAAAAUAUUUGAAAAAGGAAAAAAUGCUCAGAAAAAGGUGAGGUUAAUAGGACUAAAACAAACAAAUAAAGAAAAUACAUGUUAGAAAGGAUUUUCAAGACACCUUCUUCUUCUUAACUAAUCCUAAUUGGGAAAGGGUAUUGGCUUAAUUUCCUUUUGGUGACAGCACCUCUCUCUCAUUUUUUUUCCAUUUUUUGGACAGUUGCAAAGACGGGAGAGUACCUUACUCAAAAAUUCUACAAUGGACAAUGAGAAACAAUAAAAUGAAUAGAAUGAAAAAUCACCUGAAUUGCUCCCAUAAAUUUUUCGGAAGGAAGUUCAUUAAUGUAUAUUUUCUGUUUGAUAACCGGUUGGCACAAUAAAGAUCUUGUGACGUUUCAUCAUCAUUGAUGUAAAUAUAUCGCUUCAUUUUGACUUAAAAGCAAACAGUAGCAACUAACACAUUGCUUUCCAAAAGGGCCACAGUGCUUCACAGCACCAAGGAAUCCUGUCAAAAAAUUGCAAUUCAUAGUUUCAUAGCAGCCAAAUGAAAAAAUUUUAAAAACAAAGAAACUAAUUAAGGCAUACACAAAUCAGUGCUGCCCAAGAAAACAAAAAAAAUAGCAUCAAUGUGCAUAUCUGCUUUCUCUCAUGACAGAUGAAGGUAAUGCGGUGGCAAUACGAAAUCAGUCAUUCACCUUAAAAUGCUAUGCAACAUACAAAAUAUCAACUUGUCAUACUUGACUGCAAUAAGGUAUAAUUCCCAGUGGUACAACAAGUAUCAGCAUAUUAUGGGCUUCUUUUAAAGCUCAGAAGGAUACAAAAGUAAACAAUAUAUCAUCAUAUCCUUAAUAUCCAUUAUACUGGCAUCUUCAAAUUUCAGCAACCUCAGUAAGAGUUCCGUUAAACCAGAAAGCAAUACGACCAACAUUUACAAUUAACUAGAUAAAAAAGCCAUUUUGUUUUUUCCUUGAAAUCAUUAGUUUUUCUUCUUAAAACCUUUCCUUGUUCCAGGGAGCAUUAAGUUGGCAUUCUUCGUUUAUACUGGACAAGUGUCUAAUCCACUAGAAAAUGACAAAACUCCUAAAAUCACUCAUAAUUCUCUGAGAAUAUAUCUAGAAACCACAUUCUAAUAAUGCAACUAAAUACAAAGUCCUCAGUUAGUUGCUUGCAAGAACAUGCAAAAUUGAGGUCAACAAAACCAAUGAUUGUAUAUUUCAUGGGUAACUAACCAUUAACGCUCAUUGCACUCGUACAAUAAACUAGCAAUUCACUUGGUCUCUACAUAAUCAAACAAAACAGCUCAAAAAGAAUUCAUCAAAUUAUCAGAUGAAAAAUAUUCAUGUCACAGACCUUGAUUCAAGCUAAUUCUACAACUUUUCAAAAUCAAUAUCACCUCAAAUUAAUAUUUUCACUUCCUAAAUUAUGUAGCAUUCCGCAUGCAACAACUAAAGAUUUCUACAAUUUGAUAAAGACUAAUAGAGAAUUUUAUUCAGAGAUCAGAAGGGAAAAAGAGAAAGAAAAAAAGAACCUAUGAGAGAUCAUACCUUAUGUUGGCCCUUCUCGUUAGCGGGCUCGACCAUUAAUCUUGGCGUCUUCUUGUUUCGAUUGAAUAGCAACGGGAGCGUUGACCACCGUUUGACCGUUUUGUAUUGGACAAUUUCAAUUAGUGAUGAGGGCAUUUGCCAUUUUCUCCAACUCUGACUGCUGAUGUGCCGGGACCCGGAGAAGCAUGAAUUGUCAAAUCACAACCGCCUAUUUUGCACAUGGGUUUUGCCCAGAAUCUAGAUUUCCAAAUCAGAUGUUAAAAACUUAGGAAAUUAUCAUGCGCCACUUUUUUUUUUUUUUUUUUUGUGCUUCACAGCACCAAGGAAUCCUGUCAAAAAAUUGCAAUUCAUAGUUUCAUAGCAGCCAAAUGAAAAAAUUUUAAAAACAAAGAAACUAAUUAAGGCAUACACAAAUCAGUGCUGCCCAAGAAAACAAAAAAAAUAGCAUCAAUGUGCAUAUCUGCUUUCUCUCAUGACAGAUGAAGGUAAUGCGGUGGCAAUACGAAAUCAGUCAUUCACCUUAAAAUGCUAUGCAACAUACAAAAUAUCAACUUGUCAUACUUGACUGCAAUAAGGUAUAAUUCCCAGUGGUACAACAAGUAUCAGCAUAUUAUGGGCUUCUUUUAAAGCUCAGAAGGAUACAAAAGUAAACAAUAUAUCAUCAUAUCCUUAAUAUCCAUUAUACUGGCAUCUUCAAAUUUCAGCAACCUCAGUAAGAGUUCCGUUAAACCAGAAAGCAAUACGACCAACAUUUACAAUUAACUAGAUAAAAAAGCCAUUUUGUUUUUUCCUUGAAAUCAUUAGUUUUUCUUCUUAAAACCUUUCCUUGUUCCAGGGAGCAUUAAGUUGGCAUUCUUCGUUUAUACUGGACAAGUGUCUAAUCCACUAGAAAAUGACAAAACUCCUAAAAUCACUCAUAAUUCUCUGAGAAUAUAUCUAGAAACCACAUUCUAAUAAUGCAACUAAAUACAAAGUCCUCAGUUAGUUGCUUGCAAGAACAUGCAAAAUUGAGGUCAACAAAACCAAUGAUUGUAUAUUUCAUGGGUAACUAACCAUUAACGCUCAUUGCACUCGUACAAUAAACUAGCAAUUCACUUGGUCUCUACAUAAUCAAACAAAACAGCUCAAAAAGAAUUCAUCAAAUUAUCAGAUGAAAAAUAUUCAUGUCACAGACCUUGAUUCAAGCUAAUUCUACAACUUUUCAAAAUCAAUAUCACCUCAAAUUAAUAUUUUCACUUCCUAAAUUAUGUAGCAUUCCGCAUGCAACAACUAAAGAUUUCUACAAUUUGAUAAAGACUAAUAGAGAAUUUUAUUCAGAGAUCAGAAGGGAAAAAGAGAAAGAAAAAAAGAACCUAUGAGAGAUCAUACCUUAUGUUGGCCCUUCUCGUUAGCGGGCUCGACCAUUAAUCUUGGCGUCUUCUUGUUUCGAUUGAAUAGCAACGGGAGCGUUGACCACCGUUUGACCGUUUUGUAUUGGACAAUUUCAAUUAGUGAUGAGGGCAUUUGCCAUUUUCUCCAACUCUGACUGCUGAUGUGCCGGGACCCGGAGAAGCAUGAAUUGUCAAAUCACAACCGCCUAUUUUGCACAUGGGUUUUGCCCAGAAUCUAGAUUUCCAAAUCAGAUGUUAAAAACUUAGGAAAUUAUCAUGCGCCCUUUUUUUUUUUUUUUUUUUCACCCAAUCACUAUAAAAUUUUAACAUAUAUCUUACAUAAUAUUUUUUUACAUAUUUAUAUUAAUUAGUCGUAAAAUCUAAAUUUAGUAAAAAUCAGUUGAGCACCUCUAUUCAGGAUUUAUUUUUUAUUAAAUUUAGGAAUAUUUUUAUGAUUAUGAUUUUUAAUUUUAAAAGUUUUUAUAAGCGCCAAGGCGGAUGUACGGUACAGAUUAUAAUUUUUUAAUAAAUAAAUUCAUUUAUUUAUAUUAAUUUUUUUAAAAUUAUAAUUUUUAAUAAAAAUAAUUAUUAAAAUUUUGUAAAAUCUAAAUUUAGUAAAAAUCAGUUGAGCACCUCUAUUCAGGAUUUAUUUUUUAUUAAAUUUAGGAAUAUUUUUAUGAUUAUGAUUUUUAAUUUUAAAAGUUUUUAUAAGCUAAAAUAGUCUUUUAAUUUAUUUGGGGAUAAAAUUAUCAUUUUAUUAAAUUUAUUUAAUAGUAUUAAUGCAAAAGUGGCUAGUUGAUACAAAUGUGAAAAAAAAAGGUAGUGUAAAGUAUAUGUUAAAAUUUUGUAGUGGUUGGAUGAACAUAAGGUAAAAUAAAGAUGGUGAAAUGAUAAUUUCCCUAAAAACUUUUGGCCAUUAGGCAGUGAUUUUUUUUUCCAGGAUUUGAAUUUUUUUAAAGGAUUAAUAAAUUUGAGUAUAAAUAUUUAAAUGAUAUUUGUUUUUAAUGUCUAAAUAUACAUUUUGUUAAAUAAAAAGUAUUUUAAAUAUGGUUAUUUAACAUUUACAUCCUUAUAAAUCAAAAUAAAAAAGGGGAUUAAGUUUUAUAAUUUAAGAAAUAAAUAUAUUUAAUAUAGAUAAUUUCAUAAUAUAAUAUUUACUUCUCAUUUGAACCUUUUUCUAUUUAGACAAAAGUCAAUUUUUUUUAAUUUAGAUGUAAAUGUUUAAAAAUUAGACAUAAGUUAUAAGAAACAAACAAGUAAAUUUAGAAAGAGAUAAGAAAUUACUAAAAUUUCAGACUUUAGACGUUUAGUAAACAAGCUCUUACUUGGAAUACUUAAUUUUUAUCCUAACUAAUAUUACAAAUGAUGUAUUACUAUUUAAUUAACUGAAGUAAUAGUUAAUUAUUAAGUCUUUAUCAAUUCUAAUAUAAACAGUGAAAUUCUAUUAAUAAUACAUUAGUUGAGAUAAAAACUAAAUAUUUAAUUUCUCUUAAACAAUCAAAUUAAUUCUUUAGUAUGAUGUCACGAUAUAACUUUUAAUUACUAUAUUAAAUAGUAUACGCAUGUAACAUCCCAUACUAAUAUUUGAGUAAUUCAUCAUCUAAUUUUUCCGUUAACUAAUAUUGUUGUCUUCCAGAAAAUUUGAUUAAACCUAGAAGUCCCAUGACAACAAAAUUAAUUUCACAACAGAAGAGAAACUAACCUUUGAGAAUUCUUUGGACAUACAACAAAUAAACAAACACAAGAGUUUAUCUCCACUGAUAUGCAGCUUUUAACUAGUAAAUCAACACAUGAGUUCAUCUCUAUUGAUACUCAGCAUUUGGCAAAUAACCAACAAAGGAGUUCCCCUCCACUUAUACACAUCAUUUUUACUAAUAAUCAAAUAUAGGAGUUUUCAAAACACUACAAAAGAAAUUAUAGGUAGAGCUUUACAUCAGACCGCUAGGGUUAAACUUUUACUCACUUUUGUCUAAAAAAUGAAAUUGACAAGGAGUGAGCUGUCAUACUCAGUAAGUAGAAAUAUGCUUAAUAAACAGAACAAUACCUUUGCUCAAUAUUUUCAAACAUUCAAGUUAGCUUUAAGUUUAGAGCAAACACAUGAACUUUUGUAUAGAAGCUUUGUUGAAUACUAUUUUGCUUAAAAAAUUCAAACUGAACAGUCUGAAUUGAAUUCAAAUCUAGAAACAUUUAUUAUAUCAAACAUAUUGGAAAACAUAUACCUUCUCAAAACAUCUCGAAAUAUAUAUCAUAUUAUGACAUAUCAUAUGUGAAGCUAAUGUCAGAUAGUGUCACUUGCACUCAUAAUGAUCUAGCAUAGUUCAGAACACAUAAUUUGCAUGAUAAAAUAGAAUUUUACUAGUGAAAGUCACCUAGUUCUCCUGCUGACCUAACUAAAACUGAAAAUAUCAUAUUAGAAAUAACUGUCGUCAUUGAGCCAAAACAUUUAAAUUACAUUCAUUAAAUACAAAGCUGAAUUCUCGUAUAGCAACCCAUACAUAGCACUUCGUGGCACAUUGACCCUUGAAAGGUGGCCUUCGUACUGCUUACACUCUUUAAAUGGAACCUUUUAAUCCAAACUUGUCUAAACUUGAGCAAAGAUCAUUUAAAUACUUAUUCAGUUACACAAACAUAUUUACAAAACAUAUAUAGUUGUAGAAAAAUAAUCUGGACAACAUUUAGAACACAAAAGUUCAUCAUGGACGGGUCUACUUACUUGGAUCCAAAGCAAAUCUUAACCUUUCACUUACUAAUCCAAAACAUCACCAACACAUCCUAAGAUUGAAACGUAUGUUGAUUUAUAUUAAACUCAUAUAGAAUGAAUCUGAACCUUAACUGAAAUCUUAUUCACAAAUGAAUUACUGAAAUUCUGCACAAGAAUCAGCAUCUAAAUAUAGUUCACACGCUUAAAGACCUUAAAAAUUUAAAUAUUCUCCAGAAUAUUAUCUCUACAUGCGAAAUAAUUAAUCCCCAAAUUUCAGAAUUUAUUACUUCAAAGGUUAAAAGAUCUAUUUCUAGGGAAGCAAUAGAAUCUGAACCAAAUUUCACAAAAUGUUUGAAAGCCAAAAUGAACAUCAAAGUUUACAAACACUACAGCAUAUCAAACAUACAAGUGUCUAGUAUGAUUCUCCAAAAUUUUAGACUUUUAUUCCUUGUGUAUUAGGAUUUAUGAUUUUUUAAAUAUUCAAAGGUCAGUUCUAUCAUAAUCUUCCUUCAAUAAAUAAUGUUGAUUGCCUCAACAAUUUAGCAAUCCAAAAGGCCACAAAAAAUUAUGAAAAUUUACAAAGAGAGUUGUACGUAUAUCAAGCAGUAACGGCUCUUUCCCUCAGCAAAUUAGACAGUUGCUUAGAGCCCCACAACAUAUAAAGACCCCAAUUUUUUUUUUCAAAAUUAUAGCUAUUACAUUUUUAAUAUAUAUAUUAUUUUAUAAUAAUCUUUUCCAUAAAUAAAUUAUCAAAUCCCUGCAAAAUCUAUUUUUAACGUUAAGAUUAAUAAUUUUUAUCCUAUUUAUUCGUAUAAAAUCUAUAAUUAACAUUAUUUCAUUUAAAACUCGAUAAAAGCCAAAUAUUUGUUAACUUAUUGUCAUCCACUACUAGUUUUUAUUGAUUAAAAAAAAGCACCACGACAAUUCCCAAUCCCUCUCAAUUUCAAAAGCUGAAUAGGCUUUGGUGAUUUCCCUUCAUCAGUCUCAAUCUCUCCUCCAUCAAAGAAUAGGUAAUUUAUUUAUUUUAAUUAUUUUCUUUAUUUUUAUUUUUUCGUUUGAAUAUGAUUGGCUCAUUCUAUCCCCUUGCUUGGAUUUUAGGGCAUGUAAACUAGUUUCUUUGAUUGUUGCUUAAGAAAAAGAAAAACAACUAUUUCCAUUUAUUACUGCUGAUAAAGUUUCAAUCCAUCAAAGUUAAAAUUCUUAAAUAUUUAGGUUUUUUUUCUAUUCUCUUCUUAAUUAGUUGUAUUAUUUUAUCAUUAUUGUUUCUUUUUUAAAUAUUAUUGUGUUCAUAGGUUGUUUUCUUUUUAAUAAUCUAGCAUAAUUGUUUGCUUGUUUACUCUUUUUUCCCUAAAAAUGUCUACUAGAAAAUAUGCAUUAGGAUAUGAAAAACUUUUAAAAAAAAAGUGAAGAGUAGAAAAUUAGUACAAUCUCAAAAAGGAGCUCUUGAUAGAUGUGAAUUUGAGUGAAGCAUCAAUAAUUGAUGAAUAAGAUCAAACUGAAUUAAAAGAUGAUGAACCAAUUAAUGAAAAUAAUGACAAUGAAGAUAAUAAUGAUCAAAAUUGUGAUAAUACCCUUACAGGAGAUUGUAAUAAAAUUAUGAAUGAAGAUGAAACUAGAUAUAAAACUGAAGAUUUUGAAGAGUAUUGUUUUUCAAAUAAUAUUUAUGAUCUUGGUAGAUGGGAAAAUAUAAAUAAUAAAUUAAGAGAUUUCCUAGUAAAGAAAGGUCCAAUUAGAGAUAAUGAUUUAAUUUUUUCAAAAGGAUGAAUUUUCUAGGCAUUUCUCUAUUACAUACUAAUUAAAAAAAUACCCAAUGGAGAAAAAUAUAAUAGAAGGCGGCUGGUUAAUUCAAAAGAUUUUGAUAAAGUAUAUUGUUUUUGCAGCAAAUUAUUCAAUACAAACUCCAAUAAAAGUCAACUAAGUAAUGGAGGAACUAACGAUUGGAAAAAUCGUAGUGUUAAACUUAAAAGUCAUGAAAUAAGCAAUGAACAUAUUACUAAUAUGAAUUUAUGGGUUGAAUUAGAAGUAAGAUUAUUGAAGAAAAGAACAAUUGACAAAGAUAUUCAAGAAAAAAUUAAUAAGGAAAGAGAUCAUUUAGAAAAAGUACUAAUAAUAAUUAUUGUCGUUGUAAACAGUCUUGGUAAAAAUAAUUUAGCAUUUCAUGGAAAGAGUGAGAAGAUAUACCAAGAUAACAACGAAAAAUUUUCAAGUGUAAUUGAAAUGAUUGCAUAAUUUGAUCCAACAAUGCAAGAACAUGCUAGACGUAUUAAAAAUGGUGAAAUUCAUAAUCAUUACCUUGGGCAUAACAUACAAAACUAUUCUUGAUUGUACUCCAGAUACAAGCCAUUAAGAACAAAUGUCUAUUGUAUUUAGAUGUGUGGAUAUUUAAGCAAACCCAAUAAAAGUAGAAGAUUUUUUUUUUUUUUGGGAUUCUUAAAAGUUGAAGACUCUUCUGGGAAAGGCCUCUUUAAUGAACUCAUAGAUAUAAUAAAAAUUCUUGAACUUGACAUUAAUGAUGUGCAAGGAUAAGGAUAUGUUAAUGGUUCUAAUAUAAAAGGAAAACACCAAGGUGUACAAAAAAAGGCUAUUAGAAAUCAAUCCUAAAGCAUUUUAUACAUCAUGUGGUUGCCAUAAUCUUAAUUUAGUGCUUUGUGAUAUGGUUAAUUCUUGUCCUAGAGCUAUUUCAUUUUUUUUGGAGUUGUACAACAUAUUUAUUCAUUAUUUUCUUCUUCAAUGAAGCGAUGGAAAAUUUUACAAAAUAAUAUACCCAAUUUAACCGUCAAAUCAUUGUCACAAACAAGUUGGGAAAGUUGUAUGAAAAGUGUGAAACAAUAAGAUUUCAAGCUCCACAAAUAAGAGAUGCUUUACUUGAAUUAGAAGAAAUUAGUGAAGAUUCUAAAAUAAAGAGUGAAACUAAGUGUUUAGCAACAUAUGAAGUGGAAAAUUUAAUCAUAUUAGGUAUGAUUAUUUGGUAUGAUAUAUAACUUGUUAACUCGAUUAGGAAGAUCUUGUAAAAAGAAUAUAUGCAUAUUGAUAUUGUAGGUCUUAUUUCUUUUUUUGAAAGGUAUGGAGAAAAUGGAUUUAUGUCUGCUAUAAUUUCAACUAAAAAAAUUGCAAGUGAAAUGGACAUAAAACUUAAAUUUGAUGAAAAACGUGUAAUUCGUAGAAAAACAAAUUAGAUGGGAAACAUUAGUGAAGAAAGAAUUUUGUCUCUUGAAGAGUCUUUUAGAAUUAAUUAUUUCGUAUACAUAGUAGAUCAAGCUAUUUCUUCAAUAAUGAGUAGAUUUGAACAAUUUCAAAUGUAUGAGAACAUGCUUGGAUUUUGUUUAAUUUCAAAAAAUUACAAUUGUUAAGUGAUAAUGUUUUAAAAACUUAAUAAGUUAAUCUUGAAAAUGCUUUAAAACAUGAUAUUCUUUCUGAUAUAGAUGGUUUAGAUUUGUUUUCAGAGCUAAGAAUUUUAAAAGAAAAUUUUCAAAGUGAAAAAAAAUACCCCACUUGAUGUACUUAAUUAUUAGAAAAAAAUUGAUUCUUUUUUAGAAGUAUAUGUUGCUUAUAGAAUAUUAUUGAUAAUAUCAGUAACAUUUGCUUCAGCAGAAAGAAGUUUUUCAAAAUUAAAAUUGAUAAAAACUUAUUUAAGAUCAACCAUGUCGCAAGAAAGAUUAAAUGAAUUAGCUAUGUUAUCUAUUGAGAAAAAUAUACUAGCGAAAUUAGAAUAUAAAAAUUUGAUUAAUAAUUUUGCAUCUCAUAAAGUUAGGAAAAUUGAUUUUAAAUAAAUGAAUUUUUAAUAAUAAUUUUUUUGAAUGGUCUAAUUCAAACAAUUCACUUAAAGCCCCAAAAUUAGUUGAGCAGCCCCUACAUAUAUGUAUUUAACUAUAUUCAAAAUUCAGAAUUUUAUCCUUUAUAUAUCCAAAGUCAUAAAAGUACCAUUGCUUGAGGGUCAAGAAUAACAGCAUCCAGAAACAUGUUUUCAUCCAAACUUCAUUCAAAUUCUUAGUCCCUUAUUCAAAGCUAAAAUCUAUGAGAAAUAAACUGACCAUAGUUUAACAUGUGAUUAACAAAUUUUAAAAAGUUUAAACCCAAAAUACAUCGAUUAUAAAAGAAAUAAUAUUAGCAAAUAGAUCAUAUCAGAAAUUUCUUAGAUAUUCGAACAUCAACAAAGAUCAAUUUUAUAUUUCAUACUCAAAAUAUUAAAAGAAUUCACUUAUCGAAAUCAAAGAAAGUAGAAAAUGCUUAAACUUCUUAAGGAAAUUUGAAUUAUGAAAGUAAAUGGCAUAUGGUCCAGAAAAAAAAAAGUGAUUUAAGUUCCAUAUAAAGAGAAGUUAACGACGGUUACAAAAGUGAGGGAAAUUGAGUACAAAUCAGAUAACGGGAAGUUACUAAACUUCUUUAAAUCAAUUCUGAUUUCAAAAUUAAAAAUAACAUAAAAGAAAUAAAAUAAAAAUUAAUGUUUUCAUUUAAACAACAAAAUCAAAUCAUUAAAACUACAUACAAGCACACAGAUUAAAGUACGUGGGUAUUGCAAUGUAGAUGACAAAUAGUCUUUAUUUUUUAAUUAAUGUAGAUUAUUAUUUGUGAUAAAAAGAUUGGUAAUAUUUGAAACCCUCAAAUUGUAUAAAGUCCCCCUUCAAAAAAAUAAUUACAAAAAACAUUACAUCAUUUUUAACAAUUUCAAACAAAUAAGAAAUUUGAAAAAACUAACUAAUUAAUUCUUAUUAAUUGUUUUAUUUUUAUUUUUAUUUUAAUGAUUUAGGUGUCCUAACCAUCUUGGACCACUAAGGCCAUGUUGGGCAUAUACAAAACCGGGCUGCAUUGUAUUCGAAGUGCAGACCAGUCUUAUUUGAAAAGCACCCAAACCUCCUUGUGCAGGUUAAACUGACGAGCCCACACUGUUCAAAUCAGAUAUGCACUGACCACUUGCAGGUCAAUUUUUUUCACUCAUAUUAAUUUUGAAUUAUAGUUAUUUAAUUUUGUAUAGUGAUUGACGAUAACAAUAGUCAUGCCGACAACCAUUUGCAACAAUAGGAAGCCCCAUUGUGAGUGAUAUUAGUAUUGUAACUAUUGUUGCAUAAAGCUUAUGACGAGAGUUAUAAUGGUACCAAUUAAGAUUUCAACGGAUAAUAUCUGUAAAUUCUUGAGGGUGGUCGGUAUUAGUGUUUUUAUAUUUUUAAUUAAUAAAUCAAAAGAAUAUUAAUUUAAUAUAAAUUAUAACAUAAAAUACUAAUGUAUAUAUAGUUCACAACAUAUGACUGUAUUAAAUUUAUCACACUCUAAUACAAUAAAUUACAGUCAAAUCCAAAUCUAAGACGGUACUCCAAAUGCAUUCUAAGGUGUUUUUAACAUAAGUUUAAUUUGACUAAUUUAACAUAAGGUAAAAAUACUAAACUACCAACAAAAUUAUUUUAGCUUCACUAUUUUUUUUAAAAUUCAUUAAUUGCAUAAAUGAAAUUUUUUUAAAAAAAAUGUGAAUUUCUUUUGUAAAUAAAUUCUUGAAAUGAGAUUGGGUUGGAGGGGGGAAAAAUUAUGGAUUUUAUUAAAUAAAAAAUGGGCCGGGUUGGAUUACGUCCAGGCAGCUUAGUUAUGUCGAAUGUCUCAUAAGGCUGGGCGGGAUGGGUCUCAAAGUUCAUGAUCGGACCUUAAGACCCGGUGGAUCGGCCUUAAGCCUUUUGUCACAUGCGCUGUUAUUGAACCUUAGGUUAUUUGGAGAGAAAGAGAGUAUAAUUUUAUUUAUUUAUUUGGGUGUAAAUGAUAGUCAUCUUAACUAACUGUGGUUGCUAAUAGUAGGAACUAAAUUUGGUAUUUUUCAUCUUGCAAGAAUCCUGCUAGAUAUAUUGUAUCUAAAUUCGCAUGGUUUGCCUUGUAAGGACUUUUUAGACCUUAACCCUUAUGCAAUAGAUGGACGGACAAAAAUUUAUUGAACUAAAUUGAACUCAUUUCAAAUAAUUCCUUUUGAUUCGGUUUAAGUUUUAAACCUGUAAGUUUUCGGUCCAAAAUGAAUUUAAAAAAUAAAUAAAAAAAAAUGUAAGGAAAACCGAAUAUUGAACCGAGAUGGUCACUAAUAUAGUUAUUAAGGUCGUGAGCGCGGCAAAUAUAAGCCAAACUGACAAUAAUCAACCGCUAUUAAGUUAAGGAUAGAAAUCUUUUAAGUUGUAGUUUUAAGACAAAAAAAUUAAGUUAAGAGAAUUCAAUUUUAUAUCAAAUAAAUGAACGUGCAAAAUAAUAAAACCCACAACAGUCUUUUUAUUAUUGAAUAAUUAUUGAUGUGACAAUUAUUAUUUAAACAAAAUCAGUUAAAGGAUGGGAUUAUUUUAAUCUAAUUUUUUAUUUAAAAUUUUUGUAUAAAUUUUAAGUAAUUUGAUGAUAAAUAAAUAAUGAUCAUUAAAUAUCAUUUUGAUUUUUUCUUUUAAAUAAAAAAGUUUAAUUUAAAAUAGACGACGCGUGUUGUGCCCGAAAUCGCAGGCACCUCGAUGUCAGAAGAAGCGGUGAGGCAGUAGCCGCCCACACCAAAAUAUUAACUCACUUGACGGCAACUAUGAAGCAUCUUGACACGUGGGGAGCAAAAAGAAGAUGGACCCCACUUUCACAACAAACCAAAAAGUGAUGUUUGACUUAACAGCUAGCUGCAAAUACUGGCGGCGAAGCUUUUUUUCCCUCUUUUUUUUUUUGGUUUUUUUCCCUCUCUCUCUCUCUCUCUCUCUCUCUCUCUAUAGUCUAACCUUUUGGCACGUCACAAAUACCUCGCGGUUUCUCUGCGCCGUACCCAUACCCACCGCCGCUUCACGUGCUGUGAUCGUUGCAUUUGGUCAUAUUCAUCACCGAGUACAGCAUCUGCUGACUCUAUAUACCCCACGCGCACGGUGUGCGCGUCAGCCAUUCAUACUUGUUCACGCAUCAAUUCCUAAAUUAGAAACAGUACAGUAAUGCAUGAUGGCGGUCUUAUUCAAUAUUUAUUCCCUUAUUUUUUUUUUAAAAUUAUUUAGGAAUAUAUAAUGAAUGUCCAUCCACCACUUCUCCAUGUAACACAUGCAUUCGUUUUUCUGCUAUUUAUUAAUAAAUUACAUAAUUCGGUGUUUAACUGCCUUUCCGAAACUUCCUGAUUCCUUCUUCUUUUUUUUUUUUUUUUUGCAGAUCUCAUAAAUUAUUUCAAAAAUAAAAAACAUCUUUAUAUUAAAUUCACAAGUGCAAGAUGCUCUAUUAUGCCAUGUUUGGGUUGCAAAAAGGGAGGGAAAAGAGAAGAGAAGAAAAGAGAGGACGGUAAAAGAAAGGAGAAGAGAAGAGAGGGAAAUAUAGAGUAUUAUGUUUUAGUUGGUGUUUUUUCAAAUGAGUAAUAUUAUAUUUGCUUACUCUAGAUUCUCCAGUGAGAUACUCAUUAAUAUGGCAUUUUAUAUGUUAUAUAUUAAGUGGAUUAUAAAAAUAAUAAGUUAAAAUCAAUGAAUACCAUACGUAUGAUAUUAAAUAAUCGGUGACACAUCAGUAAAUAUUUUAAUUAAGUAUCUAGACUAAGUAAGUAGAAUGUUGUUGUUUUUUACAUCUUUUUUAAUAAAAGAAAAUAGUAUUUUUGAUUUGAUGUUCUCAAAAGAAAAAAAUUAUUUAGUUGGUUGUUUUAAAAUCGUAUAUAAAAAUGAAAACAGUGAAAAUAUGUUUGGUUGUUUAUUUAAAAAUAUAAGAAAAGUAAAAAUGUGUUUGGUGGUGAUUUUUAGAAAAUUUAUUUGUUGCUUAUUAUUAUGCAAUAAAAUUUAUUUUUUGAAUUUUUAUUAUAAAUUUAAUAAAAAUAAAAUGCAAAAUGAACUUGCAAAAAAGUGUAUUUAAUUACAUAUCACAAAUAAAACAACUAUAGAACUUAUUAAUUUUUCUUUUGGAAAAGAAUAAAAAAAUGUGCAUUUAAAUCUUUUAUACAAAAGAAAUCGAUAAAAAAAAUUAUUAAGAAUAAUAAUUGAACAUCGGUGAGGGAGAGAGGAAAAAUAAUUUGUAAAAUAAAAAAAUUAUAUAUAUAUAUAUAAAAUUAAAAUUAUGAAAGAUGACGUGACAUCACCAUUUUAUUUUUUUUCUUAUAUGUAUAAGAAGACCUGGUGUGUGGGCCUAUGGAGACAACCCCCGACAACUAGCUUUUCUCAAUUUUUCUCUUUCAUAUUCUCCAAAAAGUGGAGAAUGCCGACAUGACGUUCUCCACUUUUCUUUACAAAUGUUGGAGAACGGAAAUGUUUUAUUUUAUAGAUUCUUAGUUCAUAAGUUUUUAACCACCAAACAUUUGUUUUUCUAUUUUUUUCUUACAAAACCAAAAACAGCUGCCCAAAUGCACUAUCAAAUACACCCUUAAUUUUUUCUAUUCGGUUUGGCAUGAAAUUCUUCAAAGAAAAUAAUUAUUUGUUUUACUUAAACAAUUUUUUAGUUAAAUUUUUAAUAUUUAUUAUUGAGUAAAAUUAAAAAAACAAUGAGCUGGUUACAAUGAUGUUUGUCAUCAAUAAUAUGGUUAUUUAAUUGCUAUAAUGCUGGAUUAUGUUCUUAUCAAAAUUACUUUUAUUAAAAGUGCUUGAUGAUACUCUUAUCAAAAGUUCUUUUCUCGCAAUGGGUGAUAAAUUAUGAUCGAAAAAUUAUUUCAUUUACAACUCAAAAAAUAAAAUUGCAAAAUCAUAACAAGAAAAUAUGGUUUUAUUUAUAUAACUAAAAAAAGAAAGAUAAAUUUACUUAAUAGUGAGAGUUGUAGUGCCUCAAGAUAAGAAUAUCUUCACAUUAAAAUGAAGUAGUAAAAUCAAAUUAUGAAAUAAAAAUGAAUUACAUUUCAUAAGUCAAAAUUAAUAAGCUAUGGAAUGAUUAAAAUGUCACCACUAAGAAAAAGUUUAACCAAUGCUUCCUUUUUCUCAUCACCAAGACUACAAAAACAUUAAGUUUAGUAUUUUCAUGAGCAAUUAAAGUGGUGAUUCUAAAUCGUUGUACCAUUGUAAGGUCGUUAAUCUUCUUCAACUCAUCAUUUAUCCCUAUUUGUUUAUCUUUGGUUUCUUGUCCUAAAACUUGACUCAAAUGAGUAGAAGAUUCUUUUAUUUUCCAGAUGAUAAGAGUGGUUAGCAUUGUUAGGUCUUCAAGUGACUCUCCAAGCUCUUAUGAAUCUUCAUUUCUUCUCAUUUUUUUUAAUGAGCUAAUUGAAAGUUUUGGUUACUUUUGUGAAGCAUGUGAGAAAAGCACAUUAUCAUCCGCAUCAUCCCUCUCAUCCUCAACAUUCAAAUUCUCUUCUUAUGCUUCCUUGUUUACUCUUAUCCUCUUAAUUUCCUUUACAACAUCUGCAGGGCCUCUGCAUUUUUUUUCCCCAUAAAAUGGUCUUUUCCAUAGAUCAUAUACAAGUCCUCAUAAUAUGGGGAUGCUUUAUUUUUAAAAUUUAUUGCUUCUUUAUUACUCUAUAAAUAAAUCAUAAACAAAUCCUCAAAUCACUAUAUGUUUUUAUCAAUCUUAAUAUAGAAGUGGAAACAAAAAUAAAAACUUGCUAAAUACCUUAACUUUAAAAUAUAUAUUAAAGUAAAUAUAUAAUCAAUAUUAGCAGCAAGAUAAAAUACAUAUAUUGUUCACAUAACAAAUCCACUACUCAUAGCCUUAUUGCCAAGCAUUCAACUACAAACCAAAACACAACAUAACAAAUCCACUACACACCUACUAUAGUGUUGUUUCUAGGAAAAAAAAAACUUGAAGCUAGCUGUAAUUAUUUAUUAUAUCAAAACAUAUAAUAUAGAUAGACAUAUGAAUUUCAAUAUGUGCAACAAAGAAUGCCACUGAAGCUCUAUUAAACUUAAAAAAAUGAACCAAGGUGUCAAAAGAAAAAAUGAAUAUAAGCAUCCCACAUAGCCUUCUCUAUGGUUAUAAUUUUCUUUUCUGGAUCCCAACCAAAGCUCCUACAAUUUGAUUCAAUUAACAUCUCAUGUAUAAUUCGAGAUUGCAUCUUUAAAGUCUUGAUAUGAGAUUUAAUGUAUAACUUUGCUUUUAUACCAUUUUUAGGCAAUUUCAUUUCUAAAGCAGUUUUAAGAACCUUCAAGUAGCCACUACUAAAGUUAUUAUUAACAUAAAAUCUCUCAUCAUGUUACAAAUCUAUAAGCAAUUCCAUGAACUUAGUAUCUUCAUCCGUGGUUCAAAAUCUUGAUUUUGGAGGUUGAGGUUUCAUUUAAUUGUUAAAAACAAAAUAAAAACUAGGCAUUAAAACUCUAAGACUUCAGCCAAGACAAAAUAGCAACAAAAGACUAUUAAAUAUACGAUAAAGAAGAAUAAAGCAAUUAAACCUAAGCUGAAGAACUAUAAUGUAUAUUCAAAAUAUAGUUUAUCCUCAAUGAACCAAAUGCAGAGCACAGUUAUCAGAAUUAACAAUAAUCAUCAACUUGUGUUCACUCACGCAAAACUUCAAAUUAAAAGAGAGAAUAUUGUUCGUAAUAACAAAGAGAGUUUGGUUUUAUGUAGCUGUUUCAAACCAAGAAUAGAAGUCUACAUGCAUAGAUGAAUGCAUUAAAGCUGAUAAUAAACAAGUUGCUCAACACUCUAUAGAUAUUACCCUUAAUAAACAAGUUUUAUGCCAUCAAAAUUAAACAACAUUAAAUUCUAUUUUGACUGGUGUCUUCUUAACAUUCACCUCAAGAACAUGGCAAUAAAAAGAUUAUAGGUCUCUAUCAUUCAGACUACUAUUAUUAUAACUACAAAAGUUACCACAAACAACAAGCAGUACAAAAAUAAUAACAAAACAUACAAACAAUCAACAAUAAUAAAAUAAAAUAAAUCAUUAUUAAGAAAGAUAUCAAAAAUAAUAACAAUGCUAAUGUUUUUCGGAAGUCUCAACAUAUAUCGAUACAUAACAAUGUCAAUUUGUUUCAAAAGUAUUAACAUAUACCAUAAUCCAGAGAACGAAAUGACAACGUUUUCUAAAAAAUUCAAGUAAUCUAUCUACUUGCUCUCUGUUGAUUAUACAUCUUUUAGGCUAAAUUUUGCCUCCAUGCAUUCCACUCUUUUGAAGUUCUUAAUUAGAUAUUGAGCUACUGAAUGAUUCAACCCUAAUUACAUCAUCAUUUGUUUCCUCAGAAAGAUCGCAUGGCACCUCCCUUUGAAUACAAUUGUAUAGCUAGCAACAUGCUAAACCAUAUUCUAUUUAAUCAACCUGUAGUAAAAAUAACAAGAGGCUUGCAUACCAGUAAAGGAUGGAGCUUAUAUAUGUACUUCUUUGAGCUCCCCAUUUAAUUAGUCAUAUGAAAUCCUAAAACAUGAAUACAGCGUAUUCUUUAAACAAGUAACAUGAAAAUAAUUGAUUAAACCUUAAGUUAACAGAUCAUUUUGGAUUGACAUGAAACCGACCCAAUUAUAGUAAUGCAUUGUCUUAUAAAUUUGUAAAUUAAAGUUUGUGAUGAAACUUCAACUUAAUUGUGUAGAACAGCUUUUGUAAUUGUUUUUUUUUUCCUUAAUUUCCAUUCUUAUAUGAAUAGUAGCCUAAACAGAAAAAAUAAUUAAAUAAGGGCCAGUUUGGUAAUGUUGUAACUUUUAAAAUAAUUGCUGUUAGCUGUGCCGUAGAAAUAAUCAGCUGUGAAAAGAAUCAAUUAAGUGUUUGGUAAAUUUUAUUUUCAAAAGUACUGUGAAUUUUGAAAGUAGUUAUGGGUGUUUGGUAAAUCUUAUUAUUAAACUGCUGUAAGAAAAUAAAUAGGAACACGUACUGGAUCUUGCUUUGUUGCACUAGAGAAGUUUGAUAGAACACAAAAUAUGAGGAAAUAGGGUAAACGAAAGGUGUACGUUAAUUAUAAUAAAAAAUUAUUAAAAUAUUGAUUUUAUUUCCAAUUUAAAUAAGGAUAAUUUCGGGUUUAAGUAAUAAUUGUAAAGAUAUUUAUGGAAUUAUAUUAAAGGAUAAAAUUAAUUCUCAAAAUCAGAAUCUAAAAGUUACUCCUUCUCUACUUUUCAAAAUCAACUGUAGGAGGAGCUGAUUCUAGCAAAAGUGAUUUUGAUUUUUUUUUACCAAACACCAAAAUUAGCUUUUAUAUUUUUAAAAUCACUUUUAACCCUCCCAAAAGCAAUCCCAAACGGAGCCUAAGUCUUAAUAAGAUAAAAUGAAGGACUUCCAAGAAUUGCUCAUUGACGUUUAAGCACACUGAAGCAUCUUUCAAUGAUGCUCCUAGCAGAUGAAUGCUUCAUGCUGAAAAACUCUUGUGGAUUAGUCGAUAGUUUUUUUUUCUAGUCAUUAAAAUGAUAUCAUUGUCCAAGAUAAAGAGCAUGAAAUCCUUUAGUAUUAGCAUACCCAACAUUCCCAAAAUAAUAAUGACCUAUAUGAUUGAGAAAUAUUAGGAUUUCGAGAAAUAUUAAGAUUUCAACUCAUCAAAGUAACAUAUAAAACAACAUACUUAUUUCUAGUAAUUGACUUAUCAUUUAGGACAUUUAAACCAUUUAUUUUAUGUAAAGCCUAACGAAGUACUCUACCAUUAGCAGUUGACCCUUCCCAAGCAAUUAAAAUAUAAAUAAAUUGCAUGUCUUAGGAAUAUACUCCUAAACAUUAGUUGUAAUCUCCUGCUUUCAAUUUCGAUACCGAGGUUUAUAUGCUAUAGACACCCUUACUCUAAUAUAAGUCCCAUCUAGUGCUCCUAAACAAUUCUCAAUACAUAAGAAAAAAAGUUAUUGAUAUAAUAUGUCACAUAGGUAUAGUAAUUAUGACUAGGGUAUUAUACUUUAAACCGUUUCUAUUUCUCAUCAGUGGAGUUUCUUAGAACUAGCUCAUGCUUUUUCAAUUACUCUUCAUGCAACUGUAUGACAUAAUGCAAUACAAUGUUAAAGUACUUGCUAAGUGAGCCUUUCGACCUUAUAAAUUGAAAUCCAAUUGCUCUAUUUAUCACAUGAUAUGAUAUUAUGUAUAAAAACACAACAAUUUGUUCAUGUAUUAGAUGCUCCAUAUGUUUCAAGUGUACUGCAUAAAUUUGUAAAAGCACACUUAUCCAUUCUAAGUUAGGCAAUGUAAGUUAGACAUCGUUAUCAUAAGCUACUCGGUGAAAAAUUUUCCUAUUUGUGAGAAAAUCAAGUAUAUACAUUCCACAUCUUAAGGAAUUUUUCUAAUUAUAUUUCAUCACAUAUUGUAUAAACUUUAGUAAACAAAUAACUACUUGAAUAGUAUGAGAUCAAUGUAUAAAGAGUGCAGCCAAUUUCUUCUUUCAAAAACUGGUUGUAUCAAUUAAGCAUAAGUCAUCUACUACUAUAAUAAUAAUAAAAAAAGGAAUAUUAUCAUUUUUCCACUAAAGAUUUUCUGACACAUCAAGUCAGUAUUAUAGUUAGGUGAAACUACAUUUUACAUCAAACGUUUAUAUUGUUAGCACUUUACCACCAUUCCAUUAAAAAUAAGUUAAUAUCUAACAAAUAUGAAUUAAAAAUCGAUUUUUCCCUUAGAGCAUAAAAGAUGAUUUUGUCAUUUAAAAAGAAAGAAAUUACAAAAAAGAGAAAUUUAUCAUUUGUCCACUAAACGUUUCUGACAUAUCAAUUCAGUACUAAGAUUUCCUAAAAACUACAUUUACCACCUAAUAUUUAAGUUAUUAUCACUUUGCCACGAAAAUGUUAAAAAUAAUUAAAUACUUAACUUGUGGUAUAAAAGAUGAUUUUGUCAUUUCAAAAGAAAGAAAUUACAUAAGAGAAAUUAUCCUUAAAAAGUUGUCGUUUAUAUUAAAAAAAGCUAUUUUUUUUAAUUAUAUAAACAUGUUGUUGGGUAUUCAAAUAUCAAAUUCCAAGUAAUAUAAGUUAAACAGUUCAGUUUUGAUAAUAUCACUCAACACCAGCAGCCUUGAACUAUUUCAAAUACUACAAUGGCAACUAAAUACUCUAAAUUUAACUCUUCUUCAUUCAACAAUUAUGUUAACAUUAAUUUUGACUUCAAUGUGAUAACCUCCUUUAAAGUCUAAAAUUCGAACAUCCAUAUGCUGUCAGUAAUUUUUGGUUUGAGCCCUCUAAUAAAAGUCCCCACCCAGUGCCUUUUGGGUCUAUUCUUGCAAACAGUUACCUAGUUUUUUAAAUUCCUUUUGGUAUUCCUAUAGUGAGCCAACCUGCUUUAUCCUUGAUAAUGAUUCAUCAAAGUAUUCACACUUGGGUAGGUCCAAAUCAUGCCCAAAGCUCUUCCUCGAAAACAUCCUAUGUCACAAUUUUUCCUUUUUUCUUUGUAAGCUUGGUAUAGCCAUUAAGACCAUUGAUUAGCCACUUCUUCUAAGUAGAAUGAAGCCAAAGGUACUUUUUGUAUGUUCUUGGUGCCUUGAUAUUCAAAGAAUUGAUUGAAUCGAUUAAAUCAUUCUGUUAGCUCAUCACUUAGAUACUUUGCGAACUCAAGCUUAAUUGCCUUGGAUAAAAACACCUAUCGACUACAUUCCAUGCAUUCAUGAUGAUCUUUCUUUUUGCUAUUAAAUUGGUCAUUAUUGUUAAUUGUUUCGCUGGAUCCUGCUUUAGUGGUGAGCAGCACUUCAGAUAACUUGUUGAUGGUUUCUUCAAUAUGACACAAUUUGUUAGCUACACUUAUUUGCAUUCUGCUCAUGCUAUCUUGAAGCCCUCUUGUCACAUUCUCUAAGUUUUCAAUUUGUUCUUUAUUGGUUGUCGUUGUAGUCCUAGGAUUGAUACCAAUAAUAUGUCCCAAUCAAAGCUUGACUAAAAUUGCCAAGUACAUAGAAUUCUCUUAGGGCAAGAACAAACCAUUGAAUUUUGAUAAAUACUUGCCGAUCUUUUUUAUUGAAUAGGAUGAAACUUAAAUACACCAAGUUUACCAGUACUCCUAAACUCAAGAUCAAAAUCGCUACAAAUAAAGAAAAUAACUUCUUCUAAUGCAAUAAAUAGGUAAAUGACAUGACCUAUUUCUUUGCAAACAUGUGAAUGUUGGCCAACAACUUGGACUAAGAUCCUCUAACAGCACAUCCAUCUUUCUAUGACCUUCCUAUAUGUACCUUGGAUUUUUUACAGGAACAUGUUUUGAACAUUGUGGCUUAUCACCCAUUAGGGAUUGUUGGGAGUGUUAUUGACGUAGACUCUCCAAUGUUUAGGCUAGAGUCUCGAGAGUGGCACGGAAAAAAAAUAAUAAAACAGAGAAAAAAGAAUAAAAGAAAGGCUUGGAGGAUAUUGUACUCCCUCCUUCAAUAUAUAUUUCCACCUCUUACCUUUAAGUGGCGACCUCUUUAUAUAAGAGAAACAAUCAGAAGUAUACUUAAGUUGGGAAAACAUAUUUCCUAUGGGAUUUGCGUUUGAUAAGAAUUGUGACUUGUAUUGGUUGAUCUCGUUUAGAUUAUCACAUGUUAUUGGAUGUGAGUUUUUGGGCUAGAGAGUCCAUUGGUUUAUGUCAUCACAUCGAGUUUGGUAAAAAUACUGGUUUAAACACAUAUAGGAUGAUUUAUGCAUUAUUAUACCCUGAGUUUUUCAAAUAACUUUACUUGACUAAUCAUCUGAGUUUUAAUUUUAAAAGAGGUAUGACCUAAAAAAAUUGAUUUGGUUUUGUCUAAACCUUUAAAUUUUUUAUGGAAAAUUGUCAUCCAUCCACUCAAAAAGACAAAAGUUCUCUUACAAAUUAACCACUGCUAUAAUUUGUGUUUGGUUUUAUUUUAUCAUUUUAUAAGUAUAAUUCUAUUUUUAGUGGAUGGUUAAUACAUAUUUUCAUGUAUUGAGUGUGAAAAAUUUUUGUAAUAUUUUUUAUAACAAGAUAAACUUCAGAUUACAGUUAAUAAGAAUUUAUCAUUUUAAAUGAAGUAAAAAUUGAAACACUAUUAUGCCAUUUGAUUGUUUAUUAAUUCCCGAUUUAUAUUAUUACAGGUCCUUGAUAAGACAAGCGACGACGAUCCACGUGACAAGGCUGAUUAGGAGAGUUGUAGAUCUCACUACACAGGUCUCCCAAUCAAUGCCUAUCACGUGACCCGUCGCCCAACUUUGAAUCACUAUUCAUUAUUAUAUAUAUCCUCUUGGGACCUAUCUAUGGUACAUAUUCUGUAACAAACAUCACCCGUCAUCCCACCAUCCGAUCUUCUAUUGUUUAGUUUCUCACUCCACAUCCAACCACAUCCAACGGCUGAUGCUGCAGUCUGUAGCUUACAGAUUUUGUAAGCUAGUCAAGUCCAUCCUCUUGAAUAGGGAUGGCAAUGGGGAGGGGAGGGGAGGAGACCAAUCUCCCCGUACCCAUCCUUGAUAUUUGGCGUAUGUCCUCGUCUCUUCCCCUUCCUCGUUAAAAUUAUUUAAGAGAAUCAUCAUCCCCUCCCCGAAUAAUAACAGGGGAUCCCUGAGGGUCCAUGAUCCCCGAAUAACUAAUACUUUUUUUUUUCAAUUUUGAAUUAAUCAUAUUAAAAUUUAAUGAAUAUUAAAAUUAAAACAAAAGUUUUGGGCUAAUAGAAUUUGUCCAGUCUUUUUAAUGUCCUAAAUAAAAAUUUAAGACUUUAAUUAGUUAAUUAGGCUUAAAAUUUUAAUAAUAUAAAUAUUUUGAUAUUUUUUUAUUUUUACCAAUACUUAUAAUUUUAUAAUUCAAAUUUUAUUAUUUAUUUACUAGUAAUUUUAAAAAAUAAAAAAUAAAUUAAAAAUUAAAAUGAAAAAAUGAGUAGGGGAUGGAGAUUCCACCUCAUCCAUGUUCUCUCCCCGAAUAUAAAAUUAGAUAAAAUAAUUUUUCCGUUCCUUCUCCGAAUAAGAAAUUAGGUAUGAAAUUAUUCUCAUAUUCUUUUUAAAUAAAAAAAAUUCUCAAAAAUAUCUGUUUCCGUAGUGAUUUUUACCAUCCCUACUAUGAUUUAACUACAGAUUGAAGUUGUUAAAAAGGAAGGACAAUCCCCGAGUCACAUUAGGAUAUAUGGUCGCUCCAUUAACAAAUCACAAUCAUCAAACUGUUACAAAACGCGUGAGCCACGUCUCGCCGAGCCGUGUCCUCCCUGAUUGAAAUUGCCCUUUUUAUUUUAUUAUUAAACCAUGCGUGCAUGUAAAUGAUAUCUCUUUCAAUAUGUACGCGCAAGUAUGCGACUAAAUUUUUUAUUUUUUUUAAAAAAAAAUUAAAGAGAGAGAAAAUAAGAUCCUUUCCAUAAAAUCGCCGGCCGCAGAAAGCGGACCCCACCGAAAGCGGCAGGGACGGCUUCGCUUUAAAAAUUAGAAAGGAGGAAAACAGGGGAAAGUGGGAUCCACUCACCAACCUAUGUUUCCUUUCACGCUCCGCUAUGCUUCCUGCUCGUUACGACGUUACCUAGUAAAUUACUCGGUGAUUGUUUUUAUUUAAUUUAUUUAUUUCCAAAAGUUGGACGGCCAAAUUACACGUGCCGGCCUCCGCAUUCACAGACAUAAAACCCGUCAACACGGACUGGGGGGGGUCCCACCUCCACUGGGGAGAGCGACUCUCGUGAUUUGCUCUCCUGCUUUAACAAGAUCUGAUUUUGCCGUCAUGGAGUUUCUGUUUGGCACCAACACUUAAUAUUUUAUAAUAGAUGAAAUUCUACUCGCUUUUCAUUUUUGUUUUGACAAGACAAGUAAGCUCAAAAAAUUGGACUUAAUACAAUCAAUUUCUUUUUCUUUCGCUUUUUUUUUUGUGGCUACACGUGGCAGCGUUCAAUUUCGGGAACCUUAAUUUUGAUUACCUAUCAUAUCUUGCAAAAAUUAUAAGAAUAGAUAAUCUAUUCUUUAUUUUUUUUAAAAAAAUAUAAUCUUUAUCUUUUUAAAAAUAUUCAGCAACUAAAAGAGCCUUUUAUAUAUUGAAUCAAGUGUUUUAAUUUUUCAAGCGAGGACGGGUGGCAAGAAAUUUCUGAAAUAUCACCUCAGCCAUGUUAGUACAUGUCCUUUGAGAUCUAAGACAACUGAAAUUUAAUUUACAACUCAAUUGAUUAAAAUUAAUUUCGAUGGCUUUGCAAAAGAUAAUCCUUUUCGUAAGUGAUUCGCCCAUGCAUCCUUUCAAUUUAUGAAUCAUCAACACCCCCCCCACCAAAACAAAAAAAAGUAAAAAUCGUUAGUGUUGUAGAAAGCACAAAAGAAUCUUACGUAAAAUAUACAUACACAUAAUUUAUCAGGGAAAAAAGAAUUUACUUCUUUUGAGUUUUAGCAACCUUCAAAAUCUUCCUUGAAAAUGUCAUUAUUUAUUAUUAUUUUUUUUUCUAAUAUCGUACAUGUACUCUUAGAUUUACACAAUUUUUAUCAAGGAUGAGUGUAACAACCAACCUAAAAUAAGAACAAUGCUAUUAAUGGAAACAAAUCAUUGCAUUAGUGAACUUGGACGGUUGGGUACAACAAAAACAACCAGAGACAUAAGUUUAUAAAUUCUCUUAGCUGCAAAAAAAAGCAACCUUAAACUUAUUUACAUCGUCGGACAAACCGUAUUAACCGGCUCAUCACUAUCCGUCCAUCCCGCUCCAAGAAAUUUAGCUUUUAAAAAAUAUAUUUAAAAGAAAAAAAACCUAUUAAUUCAUUUCCAUCAUAAAUGUUAAAAAUCAACGGUUAUUAACUACUCAUGCGUCAACCACUGGUGGGGCCAGAUUAAGAUCGAGGUUAAGAACCCUUCUCGGUUUACAAUCAACGGCUGCAACCGAUGAUGAUUCAGUUUCAGUCUCAUUCCGUACCGCACCGUUAAACCCAAUUCCAGCGGAAUCGAACCGGACCGGAUAAACCGAACCCAUCAAGUUCGAUCCCCCAAACCCGUUAAGAAACAAAACAGGAGGAGCCGCCCCGGUCACGCACCCACCUCCCAACGCCACCACUCCCGGCUGCUGAUACACAAACGGAAACCGACCCACCAGUCCGUUUCCACUGCCAAAACAACCCACGUGGCGCGUGACCUCACGCUCUACGUUGGGCUCCAUCGGCGGAGGGCUGGACGAGGACUCCACGGUACUGCUCUGGCUCGGGCUCUGCUGGUUGUUGCUAUUCUUGUUGAUGGCCACGAUUUCGCUGGGUAAAGGGAAGUUCGUUUUGGCCUUCGAGCCGCGAAACUCACGCGCCGCGGCGUCGUAAGCCCUGGCGGCUUCCUCAGCGGUAUCGAAGGUGCCAAGCCACACGCGGCUCUUCUUCCCGGGGUCUCUUAUCUCGGCAGCGUAUCGGCCCCAAGGCCUCUUUCUAACUCCUCUGUAAUGCACCUCUUUCUUAUUGUUGCUCCUGUUGUCAAUGUUUUUCCUGUUGCCACUAAUUGUUCUCUCUUUUGGUGCCAUUGUUUUUUUUUUUCUUUCUGUUUUUCCCUUUGAAAGUGUGUGCUGUUUUUGUUUUGGAGAGGAAAGGGGGGGCAAAUUGUGGGAUUUUAUAAAGGAAGUUGGGGAAAAAGAAAGGGGCAAUGUGGUUGUGGUUGUGGGGGAGUGCGCGGUCAAUGCGGGAUUUGACUGAGGCGCCGCCCAAGCGAGUGAGAGAGAGGGGACAAUAUGAUAACGUUGUUUGUCUUGUGAUACGUGGCACGCGGGAUUAUCGAGACAAGCGGCGGGCUUGAGGUACUCUUUCAUCCGUGCCGGCAUUUGCCUAACGGUGUCGUUAUUGCCUCCCUUGACUUUUUGCGUGAUUUUUAUAUACAUGUACACACGCUCUCUCUCAAACGCGCAAACAUUAAACACCACGCUCCUAUCCUAUGCUUGCAUUUAUUUUAUUUUAUUUAUAAACAUCCCCUUAAAAUAUAUAUAUUUGCGUGUUUGUGAAUGUAUAAUAUUAAUUAUUAAUUAUCAGCUAUAUGUCAAGAAAUGUUUUGAAAUGACUUUUAGAUUUGCUAGAGCUUUUCUUUGAAGUUGCAUAUUGUAUUCAUGGAUUGCCUAUUAAAACCCUCCCAAUGCAGAAAUUUAUUCUUUUAGGAUAUAAAUUAAACCUUGAUUCUUUAAUUAAAAUCACUUAUUACAUAAUUAAGCAAAACAUUUUACUUGCAUUUUUUGUUAUUUAUCUAUAAAUAUUAUCCUUUUUUUUUUUAAUAGAUGAGCAUACGAGACGUGAUUUAAUCAGAUUUUUAUAAGGUGCCGAUAUUAUUAUACUAUAAUUAAUGAAUACCAUCAAAAUAUUAAAUUGAUUUUCCACCUCAGUAAAAGACAGGAUUAUAGAUCAUAGAAAGUUUAAUGCACGCCACAGUUAAUGGCGUGAGAAAGUAAUAAAGGUUUUGAGUGGAUUAGCUGACGAUUAAUUCUUAACAUCUGUCAGUGUUGUCAGCCAUCGCCGUCUCUCUCUGAAUUAAAUUUAAACCUAUGGAAUCGCUCUUUUAGACCGACAGCUAAAAGAAGUGAUCAUAACAACUACUUAAAAUGCGCCACGCGUCCCUUUUUAUGCUCGACGCGUCCUUAACGCCAGCUCCCCCGUCAAUUGUUUCGGUGUUAUCGCCUAAUUGCGACUGUCUUUGUCCAGUGACAGAUUUUCUUUGAGCGCGUGGAUUUGAAAUGACUCUUACUACCGUGUUGAUGCGCGUGCAGUGUAGUGAACGUAGUACUCUCUUUGCGAUUGGGGAUUGAUCAAAACGAGAUCCCGGAGCACGUGAGCCGUGCCAAACAAAAUAGUUAGUUAAUAUAUGAAUUUUUUUUUUCCGUAUAGAUAAUUAAGAUAUAUAAAUUCAGCACAAAUUGAUGAUGAAUCGAGAUUCUAAGCCAUUAAACAGCUAAGAUACCGCACUUUACUGACACGUGUUAUGCGUCGGCUGCUUAAAGUUGUUGAACAGUGUUAGCUAAUAAGAGUAGAGAUGGCAAUGGGUGCAACAGUAAUCGGCACGAUACGAAUAUAUUUCGACAGGGCACGUGGCACGAUAUGAUAUAUAUGUGGGCUGCACUGAGUCAGAUUUAGAAUUUUAGGCACGCCGGCCUUAAAAGUAAGGCACAAUUAGAGAUGAGUUAAGCAUAGCACGAUAAAAAAGGUCCGUAAUAAACACGUUUUAUGUUUAAUGAAGGUAAAUUUAAAAUUUUAUAAUUUUAUAAAUAGCUUGAAAUUAAAUUUUUUAAAUUUAUUUAAUUCUUAUCUUCUUCCCGGGGUCUCUUAUCUCGGCAGCGUAUCGGCCCCAAGGCCUCUUUCUAACUCCUCUGUAAUGCACCUCUUUCUUAUUGUUGCUCCUGUUGUCAAUGUUUUUCCUGUUGCCACUAAUUGUUCUCUCUUUUGGUGCCAUUGUUUUUUUUUUUCUUUCUGUUUUUCCCUUUGAAAGUGUGUGCUGUUUUUGUUUUGGAGAGGAAAGGGGGGGCAAAUUGUGGGAUUUUAUAAAGGAAGUUGGGGAAAAAGAAAGGGGCAAUGUGGUUGUGGUUGUGGGGGAGUGCGCGGUCAAUGCGGGAUUUGACUGAGGCGCCGCCCAAGCGAGUGAGAGAGAGGGGACAAUAUGAUAACGUUGUUUGUCUUGUGAUACGUGGCACGCGGGAUUAUCGAGACAAGCGGCGGGCUUGAGGUACUCUUUCAUCCGUGCCGGCAUUUGCCUAACGGUGUCGUUAUUGCCUCCCUUGACUUUUUGCGUGAUUUUUAUAUACAUGUACACACGCUCUCUCUCAAACGCGCAAACAUUAAACACCACGCUCCUAUCCUAUGCUUGCAUUUAUUUUAUUUUAUUUAUAAACAUCCCCUUAAAAUAUAUAUAUUUGCGUGUUUGUGAAUGUAUAAUAUUAAUUAUUAAUUAUCAGCUAUAUGUCAAGAAAUGUUUUGAAAUGACUUUUAGAUUUGCUAGAGCUUUUCUUUGAAGUUGCAUAUUGUAUUCAUGGAUUGCCUAUUAAAACCCUCCCAAUGCAGAAAUUUAUUCUUUUAGGAUAUAAAUUAAACCUUGAUUCUUUAAUUAAAAUCACUUAUUACAUAAUUAAGCAAAACAUUUUACUUGCAUUUUUUGUUAUUUAUCUAUAAAUAUUAUCCUUUUUUUUUUUAAUAGAUGAGCAUACGAGACGUGAUUUAAUCAGAUUUUUAUAAGGUGCCGAUAUUAUUAUACUAUAAUUAAUGAAUACCAUCAAAAUAUUAAAUUGAUUUUCCACCUCAGUAAAAGACAGGAUUAUAGAUCAUAGAAAGUUUAAUGCACGCCACAGUUAAUGGCGUGAGAAAGUAAUAAAGGUUUUGAGUGGAUUAGCUGACGAUUAAUUCUUAACAUCUGUCAGUGUUGUCAGCCAUCGCCGUCUCUCUCUGAAUUAAAUUUAAACCUAUGGAAUCGCUCUUUUAGACCGACAGCUAAAAGAAGUGAUCAUAACAACUACUUAAAAUGCGCCACGCGUCCCUUUUUAUGCUCGACGCGUCCUUAACGCCAGCUCCCCCGUCAAUUGUUUCGGUGUUAUCGCCUAAUUGCGACUGUCUUUGUCCAGUGACAGAUUUUCUUUGAGCGCGUGGAUUUGAAAUGACUCUUACUACCGUGUUGAUGCGCGUGCAGUGUAGUGAACGUAGUACUCUCUUUGCGAUUGGGGAUUGAUCAAAACGAGAUCCCGGAGCACGUGAGCCGUGCCAAACAAAAUAGUUAGUUAAUAUAUGAAUUUUUUUUUUCCGUAUAGAUAAUUAAGAUAUAUAAAUUCAGCACAAAUUGAUGAUGAAUCGAGAUUCUAAGCCAUUAAACAGCUAAGAUACCGCACUUUACUGACACGUGUUAUGCGUCGGCUGCUUAAAGUUGUUGAACAGUGUUAGCUAAUAAGAGUAGAGAUGGCAAUGGGUGCAACAGUAAUCGGCACGAUACGAAUAUAUUUCGACAGGGCACGUGGCACGAUAUGAUAUAUAUGUGGGCUGCACUGAGUCAGAUUUAGAAUUUUAGGCACGCCGGCCUUAAAAGUAAGGCACAAUUAGAGAUGAGUUAAGCAUAGCACGAUAAAAAAGGUCCGUAAUAAACACGUUUUAUGUUUAAUGAAGGUAAAUUUAAAAUUUUAUAAUUUUAUAAAUAGCUUGAAAUUAAAUUUUUUAAAUUUAUUUAAUUCUUAGUUAAAAAACUAUAAUUGAUUUAUAUUUAUAAUUUAUUAAAUAAAUAUUUUAUGUCAUGAUUUUAAGGAAUAAAAUUAUAAAUAUUACAAUUUUAUAAAUAUGCAUUAAUAUUAUUGUGAAUUAUGAUCUAUGACUCUAUGUAAGUCCAAGUUAUGUAUCAAAAAAAAAAUCCAAGUUAACAAUUAAGUUAACCCUUAAGAAAAAUUUAUUAAUAUUAUUGUUGUUAAGUAUUAAAAAAAUUCUAAUACUAUAAGGUCAAACUUAGUAAGUAAUAUUACGUUCUCUUACUAUUAUUAUUUUAUUAUCAUUGAAUGUGGAUUUGAAUUUUAAAUUUUUGAUUCUAUUAAAUUUGAAUAAAGGGAUAAACCUAAAAAAAGUACAUAAACUAGAAAAAAAGAAGACCAAUAGCUUGGCAUGUGCUCUUAAUUUUUUUUUUUAUAAAAAAAACUUAUCGGGUUUUUUUUUCUUAGGCACGACACGAGUGGACACGACAUGUAUUCGGGCCAGGCCUUAGUAAAAAAAAAAUUAGGCACGGCACGACACGAAACACAUAGUGGGCACGGCACGGGCAUGAGCACGCAUGGGCCUUACUUUGUCAGCCCGACCCAUUGACCAUCUCUAAAUCAGGGAAAUGAUGGGGUAUUAAAAUCUUAUUUUAAAUAAUAUGGCAUGUGAAAUGCCAUUAAUUAACUGGUUAGUGAUAUUUUAUAAAUUUUAAGUGAAUUAUUUAUAUUAUUUUAUUAAUUAAUGAAUGAAUUACAUAUCAUUGGAAUAAAAUUUAAGAUGUAAUAAUAAAUAUCGAUGGUAAUUUUAGAAUAAAAUUUUGAGACAUAAAACCACCGCUCUCACUGACCUUAAAGUCUUCAGUUUUGCUUAUCUGACUGACUUUCUACAGUCGUCAUUGCGGGGAUAUAAUUUCAAGUUCUAAUCGAUUGUAGUAAGUAGCCAUCGCCCUCCAGUAGUAAAGAGAGGGAGCUUCUCUCUCUGGCAAUGUUAUUUUAUUCUCUGUCCAUAGCAUUUUUUUAAUGUAAUUUUCUUUGUUUUUUUUUUCUCUUUUUUCAUUUUCAUUGCAUUAUCCUUUUAUAUUUUUAUAGUUGGAUGUUGCAUAUCUACCAAUUUUGAGGUUCUUUCGAUGCCAGAGGUGGUGUUGUUUCAGCUUCUUUAUCAAAAUUGUGUCAAUGUUCAUAUCAGGAUGACAUGCCUGUAUUUGAGUCAUUGAGGGGUUCUAAUAGUUGUUGCAUUGAGAACUUGGUGGUUGGGAUGAGCAAACAAUGGCAUAGGACAAGGGUUUAUCAAGAGGCCUUUGAGGAUUACUCUAAGAGAGGCAAUUUUAUUUGUUGUUUGUAUUUUGUUUUAAUAUUAUGGGACCAUUUCAAACUAUUUUUGAAUGCAUGGUGGUCUUGAAGUCAACUUACUCGUUCAUUCUCCUCAUGUUUCUAUGAUUCUUUAUUAUUGAUAGGGAUUAUCUCUACGUUCCCACCCUGUUGACUUCGUGUCCUUGACCAAUUCAUGGCCUUGGCCGAGAGUUCCUAAUUUGCCACCUCAACGAAUCCUCAAUUCGUACCUAAUAAUCUUCGAUCCUACCUUUAAAGGAUCCGAUUUUUCUCUUGGAGAUCUUGUCCCCUCGAAGUGGUGCAAGUGAUUACUUUCCAUAUCAACAGGUUAUAAUGUCCAACAACAACAAAACCAAGCCUAGGAAAACUCUUCUUUCAUUCUUUACUAAAGUAGAUGAUGGUAAAUCAUCAAAUGAGAGAAGUUAUAUGUACAACAUUGAUGCCUCAAGUUCUCCACCCAAGUAUCAAAGAGUCGAAUUUGAGAAAGUUGAUACUUCAUCUACUAUUGAGACCUUUAUUUAGAAUGUAAUCCCCAAUUAUAUUUUUUAAUGAUUACUUUUUCUAUUAACAAACAUGAAGAUGUGCAGAUUGUGUAUUUAAUUAUGAGACCAUUUCAACCUAAGCUACAAAACUAUCCAUUCACUAAACAUGGCAUACAAAAUCAUUGAUUUUGCUCAUCGACCACAACUCAUAUCAAUUACGAUAUCUAAUGAAGUGCAUGAGGUACAACUCUUUUUUUUCUAAGUUGAGUUCUAUUUUUAACAUUGCUAGUGCUUCUUUCAAACUUUAUUUUGAGUUCAAAUCUAUCAAAGAAAAAGAAAUUAUAGAUUUGAUAGCUUUAGAAUAGCUUAAGAGUAGUGUCGGCUGAUCAAGUUAGAACUUUACAAAGGGCCAAAGAUACUUGUUUGACCUGACAUUUUAUUUCAGUUAAUACGUUUAUUGAGAAGUUUGGUGCAACUUUUGAAGUUUUAGGAAAGAUGAUUAACAAUGGAUCUAGUCAAUAUAUGCGUGGAGAAGCUAAAUGUCCAUACAAGGAGCUGAUCAAUCCUUUGAGUUUGUGUUCAUUUAGCUUUUGUUGAAUAAAUUCCUUGGAAUUUUUGACAUAAUUUGUCGAUCAUUACAAACAAAAUCAUUGGACAUCAUGAAUGCUUUGAAUUGUCUCAAGUAUAAAAAGACUUUUGUAAGAGUUUUGAGAGAGUAGAUGAAUUAAUUUUAUUAGAAGUGUGGUAUCCUUCCGCGAAAAGUGAAAAAUAUGAUGUUAUUAUGCUUGAUAUAAGUGUUUGUUAUUCAGAAGGGCGCUCCUGUUAACAAAAAGAAUAUGUUACAGUUGAACAUCAUUGUCACCUUGAUAAAUUUAACGCUAUAGUAAAUUUUCAAUUGAUGGAGUUAAAUUGUAGAUUCUUUGAUCAAACUAUGAACUCCUUACUUAGAACUGGACUUUGGUUUCAAUUGAUGAGCGCAAAUAAUUUGAUAUGGACGAUAUUUGCUCUCUUGCUAACAAAUUUUAUCCUCAUGAUUAAUUUAUUCCAAAUGAAGUGCUUGCUUUGAGAAGAGAAUUAGAACAUUAUAAAAUUGUUGUGCUUUCUCAUCCUCGGUUUCAAAUCAUUACUUUCCUUUCUUAGCUAUGUUGAUGAUUAGUUGAAGCAAAAAGGUCACAACAUCAUUUUUUGAUUGACAGAUUAAUUCAUCUAGUGUUGACUUUUACUGUUUCCACAACCGCAAUAGAGUAUGCAAUUUCAACAAUGGAAUUUCUCAAGAUAUUAUUUUUUAGCAAGAUGGAAAAUGAGUUUUCCCCCCCGAUUGUAUAGUUAUCUAUGUUGAAAAAUAAAUUAUUGAUUUUAUUGACUCAAAUUCUAUAAUUGAUGAUUUUUAUAAUUCGAAGCAUCAAAAAGUACAACUUGAGUAAUGGUUUUGUAUUUGAAUUAUAUUUUUAUUUUAUACUCCUUUCUUUUAUAGUUAUUUUUGUUUACAAUAUGAAUUUUAGGGAUAAGACUCCUAAUAUUCUCUCCUUAAUAGGUGUAUUUUGUCAGUUAUGUAUGAAAUUUCAUGUUCACUUAGUAUAAAUUUAUUGUUUUUUUAAUUUUACCCCAGGGUACUAUGAAGGCUUGUAAUAAGGAGCCAUAAAAGUCGGAUGUUGCCGUGAAACCAAAGUUAAUGGGUAAAGUUCAAAAGAUAAUAAUUUUGUUAAAAAUAGUAAGAGUCACAAGGUUUCUCAUCAAUACAUCAAAUCCCUUGGACACAGUUCAAGUGUUUAAGAGUUGUGGCUUAAUGAAAGCUUAAAUUAGUAACUACUGCUUCCAAACAAUAGAACCAUGUUUUAGAAUUUGAUCCAUAUUUUAUAUUACCAAUACUUAAUAAAUUAACCUAGUUCAAUUUGACAAAAUUACCACAGGGAGAAUGCUCCUGAACGAAGCAUAAAUCUCUUCUUUGUUCCAAGAUCCAAACUAAUUGCUGAUGCUUGGGUAUAUGAACCAAAAUAAUGGCUUACUAAAUCCAAUAUUUAUAUUGUUGAAGUCAACAAAUUAUUGGUGUAAAUUUGUUGAAGUCAACAAAUUGUUGAUUUUGUAAAGCCAAAAAGAAAGAAUGGGGGAUGGAUUUGAAAAAUAAUAAUAAUUAAAAAUUAUAUUUUUAAUUAUUUUAUUCUUAGCAUAGUAAUUCAUUUCUCCUAUAAAUAGCUAAGGAUUUCAUUCAUUUGAAAUCAUCCCAAAUUUAUUAAGCUUAUAAGUUUCUAAGCUUUUGAGAGAAGUGAGAGAAGUGUGUCUGGGGAAUUUAUCUUUUCUGCAGAGUGUGAGAGUACUGGGUAUAUUUGGGUUUCUGGGAAGUGAGAUUAGUUACUCAAAUAUUUGUACUCUAUUAAUUGUUAAAUAAACAAUUAUUCUUUCUUGCCUCCGUGGAUGUAGGUUUAAUUACCGAACCACGUAAUUCUUGUGUCCUUUAUUUUUCUAUAAUUAUUUGGUGCGUUUGAUUCCGCAUUCCGCGCACAAGUGGUAUCAGAGCCGACGGUUCAUACUUGGGGGGAUAUGGCACUGUUCACGUAUACGGUACUAUUCCCGUAUACGGUACUCUUCACAUACGGUACUGUUCACGAAUACGGUGGAGACGACCAUUUGUACUUGGGAGACAGUCUAUUGUAAGUAAUGUGUAUUUUUGCAUGUCUAGGAAAGUUUUGUCAACAAAGGCAAUAAGAGUCUAAGGAUUUUGGUUUUUAAUUGGGACCGAGUUCCCGUCCAGUUUCCUGGGAACUUUCUUGGUGCAUUUAUUCACCCGAAAUUAACAUCAUAGAGACUGUUUUUCAAGUGGAAAUAGUUCAUUGAAAAAAUGGUAGAAGGUGAAACUUCCAGAAUUGGAGAGAGAUCUAUCGAGACUAUUUCAGGAGACACUUCAGGUGGGAGGCGAGAUUUGUCAAAUCGCUAUUCAGCAUAUGUUAUAGGAGGCCAGAAGAUCGAUGUUGAAAAGUUUGAUGGGAAAAUCAACUUCGGCAUGUGGAGGCGCGAAGUUAUGGAUGCCCUUAUUCAAAUCGAUCUCGAUGUUGUUCUGAAAAAUAAAAGACACUUGUAUGAUGAAGAAAAUUGGGAUUGUAUGAAUGAAAAAGCCUGUGGUUAGAUCAGAUCUUGUUUGACCAAGGAGGUGAAAUACUUGGUGAAAGAUGAGGAGUGUGCGGUGACUUUGUGGUGUACAUUGGAGGAGAAGUACUUGGUGAAAAGUCCUGAAAAUCGCCUUCAUGCAAUGAGCCAAAUAUAUGGUUUUCGAAUGAAGCCUGAGGUGUUAAUGCACGCUCAUGUUUCAAGAUUUGAAAAGUUACUUGCUGAUUUGAAGAAUCUCGAUGAAGAUAUUAAGGAUGAAGUCAAUGCUAUGAUUCUGUUACACUCACUACCAGAUGAAUAUAGCCAUUUUGUGACUACUUUGAUAUAUGGGAAGAGUGUGAUCGUUUUUAAAGAUGUUUGAACAACAUUGACUAGCUUAGAGAUUCGGAAUAAUGAUAAAAAUUCUUCGUAACAGUAUUCUAUCGCUAAUGAACCAAGAUUCACUAAACUGUAGCCCGUGGAAAUACUCACUAUAAACUAACUUAGAUGCCUUAGAUUCACUAACUUUCCAAAUCCUUGAGGUAAUAUCUUCCCAAAACAGAACAAUUUUCCAUCUCAAAAUUUUGCAAAUUAAAUCACUCACAGCACGUUUCAGGUAAUUCUUCUGUGUUUAGUUGGUUCUAAUUAAAGGCAUAAUUUAAAUUUUUUUUUAAAAAAAGCCAAACCAAUUUAAGGAAUCUCAAAUUUAUUGAAUUUCUAUCUCCUUUGGAAUUUCAUGAAUCAAUCUCGUAGCCAAACCAUCAUCGCCAACUAAAGCCAACAACAAUUUAAUUAAUUCAUCUUCCUCUAUAUUGUAGUCUUUUGGAAAGACAUCACAAUACGAGAAACAUUGUUUUAUUGCGGGUGGCAAAUCAUUAUAACUCAAUAAAACUGGAGCUAAAACACCUCUUUCAAACUCUUCUAAUUGCCACAUCUCACCAUCUAAAAUAAUUUGCCGCCCUUUUGAGGUUCUUUUAAACACCAAGAGACUCCCGAUAGUUUUGGUAGCAAGCGGAGCCUUUACACUUGCCAAAUUUUUUUCUAUAUACUCCAAAUGAGGUCUAUUGAAAAAAGCUAUUUGUUUGAAUAAUGACCAAUAUUCGUGUUCAGAUAGUUCCUUAAUGGAGAUAAUAUCAGUUGAUUCCAUCAUUUUGGCAAUUGUCUCCUUACAAGUAAUAACUAAAAUUUUACUUCCACGUUGUCCAAUUAUUAGACGACGUCGGAAUGACUCUCAUUUAUUGUAAUCUUCUGUUCUCAAAUCAUCUAAGACAAUAGAUUUUUUUUUUCUUGCAGUAGAUGUAUAUAUGCGUUCUUUAAGUGAAUUUAGUUCCCCUAAAUUUGGGGUGUAACCCUUUAAAGCUUCAAAAAUUACUUUUGCAAUCCUAAAUUCACAAUAAGGGUCCGAUACAAACAACCAUAUCCUCUCUCUUUUUUCUUUUUUUAAGGAAAUACCUUCUAAAAAGUUUCGUUGAUUUCUUUCAUCGUCUUAGCAAUGUCAUGACGUAGAAGCACUUGUUUGAAACCAAAACAAGGGAGAAAAAGAAGGAACAUACCGGCUUCCUAGAAGCCUUGAUUGCAAUUUGAGCGUUGUAGUGAUCCAUUGAUCACUCAUCCAACACACCCUCCAUGUCGUAGGAUGCCUCUUAAGCUGAUCGGGCAGAGUCUAGCACCUCCCUCCUUCACUUGCCUUUGCUGUGCAUCAACCACAGCUUGAAUGGCUUCAGAAUUGCCUUGCAGCACUUUCAUUUCUUUUUUAACGCCCUUUACAAGUCUCACUUGAUCUUUUGCCUCAUCACCAAAUGUUGUCGUUAAUAAGUUCAUUUGUGCUAGCUUUAUAAAAUUUCCUUGGAAUUCGCAUUCCCCAUCGUGAGCACUAAUUGCUUUACCUUUUCUGUUUGACAAUGCGUCGUUGCUUUUAUUUGUUAUCAUUGAUGUUUAGCUAUUAAAGCAUAUAUAUACCCAUCUCUUGAUUUUCUUGACUAAUUCUACUUGAUCUAGCUUUUAUUUGAAAUUUGUUAAAAAAAAGUUAUCUUGUUCCCACUUCUUGGAAAAUAAUUAAUCAUAAGCACUCAUAAGCACUUGUUCUUAGAGUAUCACCAAAAGACUUUUCAAAUAAGAUUUUAUUACUUAUUUGAAGAGAGCUACAUCAACAUUUAAGGCUCCAAAAGACACUCCAAUUAAGAUUCUUCAAAUAAGAAAUGAUCAUCUCUCUUCAAAUUUGAAGAGUUACUUUCUCCCUCUUCAAUUUAUAUUUUAUUACUUUUUGUUGAAAAAAAGAGAAAUGUGUUUUAAUUACUAUUGACUUUUCUUUUAAAAAAAUAGUUAUUUAAUUAAAAUAAUAUUAACUCAUUUAUAUUUGAAGAGUCUUUUGGAGAACAAUAUAUUUUUUCACUCAUCUAUUUGCCACAUAGGUAAGCAAAUGAAUAUUUGAAGAGUAAAAUUUAUAGAGCCUUUUGGAGAUGCUCUUAGAUGCCUUUUGAUGAACUUGUAAUUUUAUAUGUAAAAUAAUCAAAUUUUGUUUUUUUGGAAUUUCCCGUAAAUUAUGGGUAGUUUAAGAGGAAAAUAAAUUAUAACAUCAAUAUGUAAAUAGAAAUCAGUUAUGUUCCCAAGAAACUACGCCCAAUAAAUCACUCGUUCUAUUAGUAUCCAUUAAUUCCUUCUUCUCAAAGCAAGAAAUUUGCAUAAUUACAUUUACAUCGAUCAUGGGAAUGGUGGAACCAAUUAUUAGGCAUUUAACCCGAGAGUCAAUCUCGCAUAAUACUAUAAUUUCAAAGCAAGAAAUUUGCAUAAUUACAUUUACAUAUGAUUACCUUUUUUUUAAAAAAAAAUGGAAUCUAUUCUUUUCUGGCUUUGUAUUACCAUUGCAAGCAAUAAUUAAUUAAAUGAUAAUGUUAGGGAAACUUAAGUUUUGAUGUUAGGUGUCAUUUAUUUUAUUGGAUAAUGAAUUUCAAUAAAAUUACUUAACCAUUAUCUUGUUGGGAUUAUGUGAUCUUUUAAAGCAUAUUAAUUUAUUUCUGAUUAAUAAAAUAUUUGAGAUAUUUUUCAAUUGCAUAAAUAUAUUGAAUAAGGUUCGUUUAAUCAUAUUAUAUGUAUUUAUGUGAUUAUUAUAUGGAUUCAUAGAAGACAUAAAUACAAGUUAUUUUAUGAUUAAAUAAAUUAAGUUCGUAGUUGAUUAAUAAAGUUGAGCGCUCUAUUUAUGUUUAGACUAUAGUAAAUUCAUUAAAUGAUUUAUCUUAAUCAUGUAUGAAUUUACUAAUGUAGUUUGACUACAUUGAGCUGGAUCACAUAUGAGAUUUAAUUAAUCUUGAAAUGACUGUCAGACUUAUUAAAUUUCAUAGGCAUUGAUUUUAUUGUAAUCUUAAUCUUGAGUUAGUUAUAAUUUCAUGAUUGUAAUUGUUAUUCCAUUUAAAUUACCAAUGGACACGAAGCAUUUGUAGUCAAGAUUACCCAGUAUCUUGGUGGGAGCAAUUAUGAAUAUUGGAGUUAUAGAUUAACAAUAUAGAAUUUGUACAACACAUUUCUUGAUGGGUUUUCGGCACUUGAUCAUAGAAUUCUCUGGCCAGAGUGUGUCAACAUAUUUAUUAUGUUGAAAAUAAUCAUUAGAGAAAAUCAGUAAAUAUCAAGGAAUAAGAUGUAAUUAAAUCGAUUGGACAGUUGAGAUAUCGAUUUAGUUAACGAUGUGGUACAAAUGAUUAUACAGUAAAGAAAUCAAUGUGGCUUGGGACGAAUUAUUAUUCGAGCAUACAAUUAUGGAGGUCAGUUCCAAUCUUUUAGUGGAGUAGAUUUAGAAUUAAAUAAUUGAGCUAGUUUAAUUACAGGCCUAAUUAUUGUAGCCAUUAUUGUAUGUGCUCAAAUGAUCCCCGGGUUAGCUCAUUUAAUUGACUGCACCACUACUGGAUUAAUAAGAAAGAUAACUAGCUAUUUAGGUUAAAAGACUAAAUAUAUUAUUUAGUGGGAGACUCCAUUAAUAUUCUUGAGUGUAAGGGGCAUUGUGUUAUUUUACAAGGUGGGACCCUAUAACAUAAGAACAAGUAACAUGACUUUUGUUUUAAUUAUUUUUUAAUUUAAAUCAAAUGGGAUUUAAUAAAAUUAAAAAAAUAAAUAAAAUGGGGCCUAGGGUUUCCACUAAAUAAAAAUAUAAAAAUGCUUAUUUUCUCUAAAGAAAAGAGACAGAGAGCCACAUUAUACAGUUCAGAGAAAAAAAAAAUUUUCUCUCUAAUUUUGAGAGAAAAGUUUUCUCCUGCUAGUUGCUUUUAGUGGUGAUAAAGACGUCCAUACGUCAAGUGCAGAUCAAACUUGAGUCAUAGUCUGGAAGAUUUUUUUGUGGUGGAUCGUGAUCUAACAUGAGUGGUAGUUACAGAUCGUGAUCUAACAGGAGUGGUGGUAACGGAUCGUGAUCUGGGAGCCUAAAUCACUUCAGCGAAAAAAACCAAAUUGAAUUUUCAAUGUACGAUUUCUAGAUUACAAAUUCUUAUAUAUUGUAUGAGAGCGAUCCUAAAAUUUUUUAUAAAAAUAUUUAAAAAACUGAUUUUUCUCGAACACAUCUAAUAAAUGAAUACAAAAUGAGAUAUUUUGUAUAGAGAUAUUUAUUGCUCAUAUAUGCGUCGCCAUAGACAAAGGUUUCGGCCCUUAACACGAUUUGGUCACAAUCAACUGAAUCAAGAGCAAAUAAUCUUGCCUGCAAGCACGCACGCACGCAAUGGUCAAAUAUUAGAAAUCAGUCAAAUUCUUUCCAGCUAUGAGAUAAUUCUCGGAAAUAAUUGUAACAUACUGUACACAAUUUGCAUCAUCGAAGAUAUAAUAGAAGUUAUACAUUUGGGACCUAGUACCUACAACGUAGAUAGUAAUCAUAUUAGAACUUCAUGUUCUAAUUAAAAAGGGUUAAUUCUGGUCAAGACUAUAGAACAUAUGCUAAUAGAGAUGUUCUUUUCUCAGUGAUGCCAACAUUAUUACAUUUAAAAUGAGAUUAUGUUUCAUCAUACAAAAAUAAAUAAAUAAAUAAAGAUUUCAUGGAGUCAGAUUAAGUUGAGAGGCUGCAGCAAUCCUCCUAUUUCUCUUUCUAUGGUGCUCUCCAUAAAUCUUACAAAAUUUAUAUUAUUUAAGACAAAAAAAAUUAAUCUUCUGUAAAUUACAAUUAAUAGUUUAAUUCCAUAGUGCACACAGCCACUGAACGUCAGCGAGAUUUUUUUUAUAUUUAAACUUAUAAACAUAAUUUUCUUAUUGGUCAACUAUUACUAAAUAGGGAUAAAUGAAAUAACACAAAUCAAAUGUCUUUGAGAAACUUUAGAUUCUUAGUUUUAUAUACAAUUUCUCAUCUUGUAUAAAUGGAUAUAAAAGAAAUAAACUUACUUAAAAAAAAAUAUUAUUGUUCAUUAAAAAUGCGAGCAUUAUUCUCGUUUUCAGUGACCAUUUCUUUGACUAACAAUGUUUUGUUUCCAGGGAUUCGAAUUCUAUGCAAAGGAAUCAAGAUUUCACGUUCUUCUCUGUUUAAUUCGGUUAUUAAUGAAAAAAUAUAGUAACAAUGAACUAAACUAUUAUCACGCAUUAUAAAAAAAAAUUAUACAAAAUUCAUAAAUAUUCUAAUUACCACGUUGAAAUUUAUAAAAUGACACCAAUGCCACUUUAACGUAGUUGAAAUGUAUAAAGCGUAUGAUAUAAAUAAGGUCGCAAUUUCUUUUUCACAUUCCUAUUAUGUUUUUCUCACACAGAUAUAAUGCUUUUUUUUCUUUUUUAAUGUCAAAAUAUAAUAAAAACCCAACAAUUCAAAAUCUCAUUUCUUGCCAUUUUUUUUUAAUUUACUUUCUUUAGUUUCUUCAUUCUUUUAAAUUUUAUUUAUUAAUAUACAUUCAAAUAUUGGAGGAAACUAAUUUAAGAAUUCAUAUUAUAUAAAUAAUAAUCUCCUUGGGAAAUUAACAAAUCAACAUCAAGGCCACUUCGGCCUUGGCCGAAGUGGUGGGCUGCUGCCCUCACAAGCAUUGUGAGGGCAGCGGUUCUAGCCCCCACAAAAGCAUUGUGGGGGCUAAAUGUUCUUUAUAUCCUUCUCUUGCGAAAUGCAAGUGGAGUAUGGAUUGUAAUAAUGUAAGUCCCAAUCAUGUAUAUCUGAUUGUAAAUAUCAGUGUAAUAUCUCUGCUACAAUAAGCAGUUGUUGUAAAUAUCUGUGUAAUGCAGUAAUCUGAUGAUUAAUCAGUCUCAAAAAAAAAAAAAAAACAAAUCAACAUCAAGAUCUAUCAAACAGCCGCCCACAAAUAUGAGAGCCUGUCCAACUCUGACAAUAUUAGACAGUUCUUUUUAGGUGUGAUCUUGGUUAAAAUGAAAAAGAAAAUGUAUAAAAAAGAAAUUACUCAUGUUUUACCAUAUAACACUUAAUACUACCACUUAUUAAACUUAAUUAUGCAAAUGAAGAGGAAAUUAACUUGAUAAUUGAAUAAUUUGUGUGUUUACUGCACAUACAACCGCACACAAAUAUUUUACCUCUUCAAUCCAUCUCUGUUUGUGUCGGUUAUUUCCCUGCCUUUCAGAAAAUCAUUAGUGAUUGGUGCCUUUUUUUGUGCUAAGGCAAAAAUAUUUCAAUCGUUGAUAAUGUAAUGUGAAAACCUACAAAAAUAAAUAAAUAAAUCAGUUUUUUAUGCUAUUUUUUUAAAUAUAAAAUCAAAUUUCAAAUUUAUUUUUUCUCCACUUAAAAAUUUCAGAAGAAUUAAGUUAAGAUUAUCCUUUUGUAAAUUGAUUAUCUUCAAAUCACCUCCUUACUCUCAAUAAUCACAAUUUAAAAAAAGGAAAAAAAAUUAUCAAGCAACUUCCAUUUUUUCUCUUAACUUCCAUUUUUUCUCUUAUCUUUUGAAUAAAAAUGGAAGUAACUUGAGGUUUUUAGAAAUAAGGGGGUUGAUUUGAAGAUAGUUAAUUCACGAGGAGGGUAAUCAAAAAUUUAUUUAUUUCAGAAUAUAUAUAAAUUAGCGGCUAAUCUUAAAAAAUAGAGAACAAGUAUAUAGUAAGUAUAUAGUAAACAUUGAGUUUUAAAGAUGAGUUUGCGUAAUUAUAUGAUAGGAAAUUUUGUAUUGAAAAAAAAAUGAAAUGAUUAAAAAAAAUUUAAGCCUAGUUUUCACCUAGCUUGGUGCCUUCACAGAUGUUUCGCACUCCACGGACAAGAAAAACUAUUUAUUUUACCAUUUUGAAAUCUAUGCAAAUAAAUUGACACAACGGGGAGCGAAAGUGGAUUGAUAGGAUAACUGAAUACUAAAUACAGCUUUAGUAUCGAACCAAGUUAAUGCGACAAAAUUACACUCUAAUCGAAGCGUGGUUAGAUCUCAUUUUAAUCCAAAUGACUUAAUGGGAUUUUGACAACAUUUUAAGUGAUAUUAGAUGACGCUCUGAUCAAAAUAACUUUACAAAGGAGAGACCUCAAAGUUUUCAAUGAGGGACACAAGAACUCCUUUUAACUAUAAUACCCUUUAGCCCUAUUAACUAAAAACGAUUGACUCUAAUAUUUUAUAAUAAAUAAAAAUAUAAUAUUAAGAUAAAUGUAACAAUUUAUAACUUUAAAAUAAUUUCAAUAUCUNNNNNNNNNNNNNNNNNNNNNNNNNNNNNNNNNNNNNNNNNNNNNNNNNNNNNNNNNNNNNNNCAGCAGUAAUAAAUAGAAACAUAAUAUUGAAAUAAAUAUAUAAAAAUUUAAAUAAUUUUUUGAAAUAAUUUUAAUAUGUUUAAUACAUGGGUAUAUUUUAUUAAUCGUAAAAUUUAUUUAACCCAAAGAUUUAUUUAAUUUUUUAAUAAAUACAAGUAUAUUAUUAAAAUAAAUAUAAUAAUUUGCAUUUCAAAAAAUAUUUUAUAUAUUAAAAAAUUCUAAUACUGUUAGUGCACUCGACAAAUUAACUAUUUAAAUUAUAUUUGUAUUUAUUACAAAAUACGGUUUCUAUGAAUAAAAAAAGGGUCUUGGUAUUUCUUCUUGAAAACUCAGGAUCCACAUGACAAUUUCCCUAAAUGUUGGGGUGACGAUAUCAUUUUCCAAAUAAAUUAUAAAGGAAAGGUUUCUAUUGAAUAAUUGAACUUGAAGUAAUAAUGACAAGACGUACUUAUUUACAAUAGGGUAAACAUACUUCCCUAAAUUAAAGCAAAAUUAUAAUUGACUCUAAUUAAAAAAAAUAUCAAAAGACCUGAAAUAAUAAAAUUUUAAAAUUCUAAAAUAACAUCCUAUAUCAUAUUCAUUAAUAAAAUUAUAAAGGGAAUAGAAAAUUUUUUUAAGUUCAUUAUAAAGAGUUCUAAAGAAAAGUUUGAAACAAUAAUUAAACUAACUAGCAUAGAUAUAAAUGAAAUGUAAAUAGAAAUAUGAAGUUAAAAUUGGGGAAGCCUUUUUUUCCCCCCCAAUUUUGUUUAUUGAUUUUGCAUGUUGGAAAGUCGAUGGAAGUGGUGGAUCAUUAAUCCAAUAUUAGUCUUAUAUGUGAAUAAUUAUGUGUUGUGAACUGUCAUAUAAGGUUAAACUCAAUUAAAAGUUAUUUAUUGAGAUUUGAGAUAAUAUAAGCUUCAAUGCAUCUAACAGGGUGUGAGUCUUUAAUAUGUAGAUAUUUAAGAGUAAUUUCCAUUUCAAUAAUGGGCUGAAAUAGGAAUACCAAAGACAACAUAAAACAUUGCCCAUAUAAGUGGUUAUGAUCCUCAGGUCACGUAUCAUUCUAUUCUUUCUGACAUCCCAUUAUCAGAGAGAGUAUAGAGAAACUUAAAGGAUUUUCUAGAAGAACGUAUUGAUCUGGAAGGCUAAUCUCACGACUCUAGAGAGCAAUUAAGCAAUAUGAACUCAAUUACGCUUCCGCAUAUUUAUUCAUUGAUUAUUGGUGAUACAACAUGAAUAUUCCUGGAUUAUAGGUGAUAGUUUUCACCAAAAGAUUUAUUGUUCUAAUAAGUGGUAUUAAAGUCUCUUCAUAUUGAAUCAUCGAGAAUCAAAUUUAUUUUUGAUUAAUGAUUAAAGUUUAUGUGUUAUGGAAUUUAAUAAUUUCGAUAUUAUUGAAUCUGAGAACAAAUUUCUAGCUGUUUUCUGGUAUUGAUAAAUACUAAGAAAUCCGACAUUUAAGAAUGUUUUUAGAAAUUUAGAUUUAUUUUUUGAAAAAAAUGAUGAUUAAGGUUGGCGACAGCAGUAGCCACCAUUGGCAUUCGGGUAAGGCGUGCCCAUUGGACCACACCAUUAAGGCCACAGUAGAUAAAGUAAAGAAACAAAAAGAGAAAUGGAAACCCCAACAGGAAGCCACGACUUAUAAAUUGGGUACAACGGCAGCCAUGAAGAAAAAGAGGAAAAAUUGUUAGGGUUUCUGAAUUUGAAGCUGGUUUAGGAUCUGAUUCAGGUCAACCCGAACAAGUCUAGUCCCAACUCAGUUAAUAGUUUACGAUCAAUUAUUGAUCGUUGACCAAAUUUUGACUCCGAAUUUUUUAAGGGUAAUUUUUAAUGCAAUUUUAAAUUCAAAUAUUGGUAUAUUUAUAUAUAUUUUAAGAUAAAUUAAUUGAAGCAACAUGUCGACAAAGUGACUUAUUGUGAAAAUUAAUUUAUUUUAGAAUAUGAACAAUUAUGUGUAUGUAAUUUCUAUGAAUAUCGAUCGACCCAAAGGAAAGUCCUCAUUUACAAAAGUGCAUGUGCACCUAUGGUAAUAAACUCGUGAUGAUUAUUUCAUUUUACAUGUGAACAAUAAAUUAGUUCAAAGGAAGAUUUAUUACUAGAGUGUUCUGAUUAUUAAUGUUUGAUUACUACACCAAGAUAUCACUUACAAGUUAAUAUUUUGUCCAAAGAUAAAAUAUUAAUAGAGUGUCUGGUAUCUUGAGAUGGAGUUAACAUUUAUUUGAAUUUAUUUUAAAGAUUUAUAUGAGCUUGUAUUGUUUGUUUGUGUUCUUUGUUUAGUUAUGACUUCAGUUGAUAUUACCGCCAACAUCAAUUCUAUUCUUAUACUAAAUGGCUCUAACUUCAAUUCAUCGCAAAAGAACCUCUUAAUAGCUUUUGCAGUCAUGGAUCUUGACCUUGCAUUAAGGGUUAAUUCUCCCUCACCUCUUAUAGAUGACAUUACUUCGAAUGACAAAAAUGAUUUGGAAAGGUGGAAGAAAUCAAAUCGCAUGUGUGUGAUGAUCAUAAAGAAGGCCAUUCUGGAAGCAUUCAGGGGCUCAAUGCUAGAAAAGGUAACAAUUGCUAUGGAGUUCCUUGUAGAAAUUGAACAGAGGUUUUUCAAGAAUGAAAAUGCAGAAAUAGAUACGCUCUUAACAAAUUUAAUUUUAAUAAGGUAUAAGAGCAAGAACAAGGGCAAGAAAAGGCAUAAGGAUAGGAAAGCUGCAGAUACAACACCUCAAAAGAAACAACAAAAGAAAUGGGAUGAUUCGAAAAGUACUAGUUAUUUCUUUUACAUAGCUAACGGAUAUGGUUUGCUUUGUUUUGAGGUUAACUUAACUUCAAUACCAAGACAUACGUGGUGGAUAGAUUCUGAUGUAACCACUCGCAUAAGUGUGUCUAUUCAAGGUUGCUUGAAUUGUUGAAAGCCCAGUGGUAGUGAAAGAUACAUCUAUGUAGACACUGGCAAGAAGGUUGAAUUGAAGUAGUUGGAAAUUUAGAAUAUUAUUAAAGAUCAAUUUUUUUUAAAUCUUGAUGAAAUAUUUAUUGUUCUGUCUUUUAGAUGGAAUUUGAUUUCCAUUUUUUCUUUGGACAAGUCUAGUUUUACUUAAACAUUUGGCAAUGAAAAUUUCAACUUGUUUCGUGAUUUAAAACUGCUUGAUUCUAAUUCUUUGACAAGUGAUGAUAAUUUUUAUAUGCUUGAUACAAUUGCUUCAUUUAAUAAAUCCCUAAAAUUCAGUACAUGAGGUUUAAACAGAAGAUAACCAAUGAGAAUUCAGCUGCGUUAUAGAACAAGAGAUUGGGUCAUAUCUCUAGAUGGAGAAUAGAAAGACUUGUGUUAGCUAAAAUUCUCGACCGCUUAGAUUUUGUUGGUUGCUUCUUAUGGCUGCUUGAAGUGGUCAACAAUAUUUUAUGAUAUUCAUAGAUGAUUUAUUCUAGAUAUGGUUAUACAUCUCCUCAAUUAAAAGUCACAAUCCUUACAUAUGUUCAAAAAUUUUAAGGAUAAAGUUGAGAACCAACAUGGAAAAAGAAUCAAAAGCGUCAGAUUUGAUCAUUGUGGUGAAUAUUAUAGUAGAUAUAAUGGUUCAGAUAAGCAGUAUCCAAGAUUGUCUGCUAAGUUUCCUAUAAUACACUAUGCUGGGUUCGCCAAAUAUGAAUUGUGUUGUUAAAAGACAAAAUAAGAUGGUUAAGAACAUGGUAAGAAGUAUGAUUUGUCAUUUUAAUUUACUAGAAUCAUUCUGAGGAGAAGCGCUUAAGACUGCAACAUAUAUUCUUAAUAAGGUUUCAACUAAAGCAACUGCCAAAACUCCUUACGAACUUUGAACAUGAAAGAAUAUUAUUUUAAAGCACUUGUAUCUUUGGGAAUGUCCAGCCGAGACAAGGCCUUAUAGGCCUAACGAGAAGAAACUAGACUCAAUGAAAGUGAAUUGCUAUUUUAUUGGAUACUUUGAAUGACCCAUAUAGUACAAGUUUUAUAAUUCAACAAAUAAAUCAAUUUUUCGAGCCAAGCAAUGCUCGAUUUUUUGAGGAUGUCAAGUUUGCUGGGGGGGAGAUACAGGUAAGGACUUUGUCUUUGAAAAUGAAUAUGUUGAUAUUCUUACAUGUGUUAUUGGUAUUGAUCAGGUUCUCAUUUCUGACCUUAUUUAAGAUAUAACAGAUCAAGAUAAUAUUGGAGAACCUCCAUACAUGAAAUUGUUAUAGAAGAACAAAUUCUACCACUUCAAGAACUUAUACAAUUAAAUAGAUCCACUAGAGAAAGGAAAAGUGCAGUGUUAGAUAACUACAUUAUAUUUCUCUAAGAACAUAAGGUAGACAUUGGAGUAAUGAAAGAUGAUCCAAUCAAUUUUCGUCAAGCUAUAAAAGGUUCUAUCUCUCAGAAGUGGAUUGAUACCAUCAAUAAAGAGAUGAAAUCCAUAAAAGACAACGACAUAUUGAAUCUUGUCGUAUUCCAAAAAGGUAUGAAACCUGCUGGUUGCAAAUAGAUAUUUAAACUAAGAGAGAUUUGAAAGGUAAUGUAGAAAGAUACAAGAUGCGUCUUAUCACAAAAGACUUUAUACAGAAAAAAAAGGCAUCGACUAUAAAGAAACUUUCUCUUUGGUUUCUUCGAAAGACUCUUUUAGGAUCAUAAUGGUAUUGCAGCGCCUUUUAAUCUUGAGUUACAUUAAAUGGAUGUGAAGACAACAUUUCUCAAUGGUAACAUUGAUGAGACGAUCUAUAUGGUGCAACCAUAAAAACUUUGUGUCAAGAGAUCCAAAGAAUAUGUUUUGCAAACUUAAAAAAUCCAUCUAUGGGCUCAAGCAAGCAUCUAAACAAUAAUAUUUCAUGUUCUAAUAAGUGAUCAUAUGAUUUAGUUUUAAGAUGAAUUUGGCCAAUGAUUGCAUAUACCAUAAGUCCUGAUUUAGUUUUAAGAUAACAUUUUGCUUGCCAACAAUGAUAUAGGCCUACUGUACAAUACUAAUAGAUUUCUUGUUAAAAAUUUUAAGACGAAAGAUCUUGAUAACGCCUUUUUUGUAUUAGGCAUAUAGAUACACCAGGAUUACUUUAGGGGUAUUUUUAGAUUAUUAUAAUAGAGCUAUAUUGAAACGGUUCUCAAGAGAUAUGACAUACAAGAUUACAAACCAAGUGGUACCCUUUUUACUAAGGGAGACAAGUUUAGCCUCAAUUAGUGUCCUAAGAAUGAUUUUUAGGGGAAAAAAUGGAGAAAAUUCCCUAUACGUCAACAAUAGGAACUCUAAUGUAUGCUCAGGUUUGUAUGUGAUCGGAUAUUGCAUAUGUCACUAGGAUAUUGGGUAGAUUUUUAAGCAAUCCAGGAGUAAACCUUAAAAAAAAAAAGCCAAAUGAGUUUUACGGUACUUAAAGAGAAUAAAAGAAUACAUGCUCACGUAUUUGAGGUCAAAUCAAUUGGAAAUCGUUGGGCAUAUUAGCUCUAAUUUUGUUGGAUGCCAAGAUAAUAUGAAAUUCUCUUCAGGUUACAUCUAUCUGCUAGCUAAGGGUGUUGUUCUUGGAAGUGUCCUAAACUGUAUCUUAUAGCCUCUUCUACAAUGGCAAUAGAGUUCAUAGUAUGUUAUAAGGCAUUCAAUCAUGGAAUAUGACUGUGGAAUUUUGUCACAAUGCUGUACAUAGCAUAUGGUAUUGAUUGGCCACUUAAGUUAUUUUGUGACAAUAAGUUAGCAGUGCUAUAUUUCAAUAAUAAGAGCUCGAUGAAAUCAAAGUAUAUAGACAUCAAGUUCCUAGUUGUUAAAGAAGCAGUUCAAAAUAGAUAAUUGCCUAUGGAGCACGUCGGCACAAACUGGAUGAUUGUAGAUUUACUUAGUAAGAGAUUGCCAUCCAAAAUGUUUCAUAAGCACGUUACUCGUAUAGGUGUCAUGUCGUUAAAGGAUAUCCAAUUUUACUAGGAGUUCGUGAUUUUAGAUGCUCUUAUGUUAUAGACAUUUUCAGUUAUUUUCUGUAGAAAUAAGUUUUAGUUUAUUGAUACUCUAAUUUUAGUAUGGUUUGAUCUCACUAAGUUUUGAAGUAGACUAAUUGGAAAUAGGCAUGUUAAGAUUACAUUGCAUAAAAUUUCUAUUCAACACAUCCACAUUAUAAUCCAUGUCAUUUAGUUGUAUUGGCAUAAUGACUAUUGAUGGGAUGAGUUACAACAAUUGUAACAAAGGCUGCUUUAAUCUUAUAUUGGUGUAAUUAAUAGCCUGAAUUAGUUGUAGAUAUAUUUCAAUAAUGAUAGUAAGGUUGUGCUCAUAUAGUUAUUAUUAUUAUUUUUGUGUAUAUUUCAAUAAUGAUAGUAAGGUUGCGCUCAUAUAGUUAUUAUUAUUAUUUUUUUUACAAAACAUAAUUAUAAGUUGCAUAUAUAGCCCAAGAGGAAGAUUGUUAGAUCCUUAAUCCAACGUUGGGCUUAUAAGUGAAUAAUUGUGUAUUAUAGACUAUCAAAUAAGGUUAAGCCUAAUUGAAUGUGAUCUACUAAGGUUUACCGUAAUAUGGGCUUUAAUGUAUAUAAUAGGUUGUAAGCCUUUUGUUUGUAUAUACUUAAGGGUAAUUUUUAUCUCUAUGAUGACUGAAAUAAGAAUACCAAAAGACAACAUAAAACGUUGUCUAUGUAAAAGGUUAUGCCCCCAAGACAGAUGUGUCAUUUUAUUCAUCCUGACAUUCCAUCAUUAGAGAGAAAACACACUAAAACUUAAAGAAUUCCCUGGGAUAACGUGUUGAUCUAGAAGGCCAACUGCAAGACUUUAGAGCGCAAUUAAGCAAUAUAGAUUUAAAUACACUUUUGCAUAUUCAUUCAUUGAUUCUCGGUAAUACAACAUGAAUGUUCCUGGAUGUAGGUGAUGGUUUUCACUAAAAGAUUUAUUAUUGUAACAAAAAGAAGUAUUAUAAGCAAAAUCGAGCAAUGAUGAAGCAUGAAGGCGAAGCAGGGUACAUUGUGGAAGAGAAUGUGGGAGAGGAAAACAGGGUGCAUGGUGUGAGAAGAGUAAAGAUCUCGAGAGUUGUUUAUUGCAUGCUUUCUAUUUAGGGUACGUAUUGAAGGUCAAUAAUGAAGUGUCAUGUGUCGAUGAAAAAUUAUAUGAUUAAAAGUAUCACCAGAAGGUACCCAACCUAUGUACAUCUGAUAAUUGAGGUGAUACACUAGGUACGCCAUACCAAAAGUAAAGUGGUAAAGAAAAGUCUCUAAAAUAUAAAUAUGAGAAAUGUCUCCCUCGCUUAAAAAGAAUAUUUGAUUUGGUAAGAUCAAAUAGGGGAUAUCUUGUUAGAAAAGAGAGGACAGCUCAAGGACAAUGGUCUCUAACUGCCACGCCUAAUAAUUGCCAAGACAACUUUCGCAAAGGUGUCCUCGACCACUCAGCAACGUACACUACAUGUACAAGAAAACAAACCACACUGAAUAACGUCCUUCUUGCUACCCAAACAUGUUUUUAAUGAACCAUAAUCAUGAUAAAGGUGAAAAGAUAAAAGAAUUUUGAAAACUACAGUAAAAUCACCGCUAUAAAUGUGCCACGUGACAUGACAGACAAGGUACUCUAUAUAUAAAAACACUAAAGUUCUACUCUU
rnacentral:lncRNA from 1 species